rnacentral:lncRNA from 1 species
GAAAAUGCCAAGAAGAGCCUUCGACUACGUCUGCAACUUAUUGAAGGAGAAGUCUUGGCAAGAUGCGAACAAAUACACCUUUCCCGAUGGGAGGUAUUUGUGUUUAGAAGACGGAGUUGCCGUCGCUCUGAUAGUGCUCAACUCUGGCGAGACACCUGCAACCGUAGGAUCCUCCGUUGCUUUGAAUGAGUCAAUCGUCUCGCAGGUAACCAAGAGCUUUGUUGUUGCUAUGGACACACCAGGAUGGCCAGGCACCACUGAAAUGGAGAAGAUCAAGUACAAGUUUGACAAGAUCCGCGGCCUGCCAAACUGCUGCGGUGUUGUACAUGCAGCUCGCAUCCCAUUUGGGUCUCAAAACAGCGACCGUGAGAAGAAGAAUGAAGACAUGCUAAUGCAAGUCACCAUUGAUUCAGAUAUGAGGUUCAUAGAUGUCCACUUGGGAUCGCCAGACAACAUGAAGAAGUCAAGCAUUUCACAUGACUCUUCUCUCUUCGAGGAGUGUGAGAAGGGUACUAGGCUGAAUGGUAGCAAGCUGAAUUUAUCGGAUGGACGGCAAGUUGGAGAAUACGUGAUUGGUGAUGCCGGAUAUCCUCUUCUUCCCUGGCUGCUCACACCUUACCACCCGGAGAAUGACCUCUCAGAUUAUCAAGUAGAGUUCAAUAGGAGACACUCAGAAGCAAUGGCCGUUGUGACGAGGAGUGCACUGGAAAGAUUAAAAGACACAUGGAAGUUCCUUCAUGGAGGGAGGUGGCGUCCUGAACAUCGAUUUGAACUUCAUCAGGCAAUCCAAGCAUGCUGCAAGUUGCAUAACAUAGUGUUAGAAAUGGAGUGUAAGGUAGCCACAACGAGCUAUGGCGCCGGUAGCAAAGAAGUACGGCAGUUAGCAGAUGAGGAUGCGGCCAUGGCAAGGGAUAUAUUGUCGCAACACUUGACCAGCAAACCAUUGGAAUCUGGAGGUAAAUUAACACAACUGCUGCUGCAUCUUAAUUCCCUCAAUCUCUCUAUAUCUUUUCUCUGUCGACCUAAUUAAUGUAAUCUUCUCGUACUAAUUCAAACUUUCACUGAUAGCUAUGCAUUAUCACUAUAUAUGUGCUCUCACUUAUUUUCUCUGCCGUUCUAUAUAAGUUGCAUAGUUGUGCUUCAGUUUAGUUUGAUCUAUAUAUGUGCUCUCAUUAAUCGUCAUUAGCCAUGCAUUAUCACUGUUCAUAUGAUGUCUAUAUAUGUAGCCAUUUCGCGUUUGGGAAAAAAAAUCCAUGCUUAAGAAUGGAUUGGAAUGAUCCGGUUUUCCACAUUUAUUCCUAGUACGCUUGCAUGUGCACGUACGUGAGUUGGAACUACAUGUACGUGUUAAUUAAGUCAGGACGGUAGUGAGCGUGCUUAGGAGACAAGCACUGCGUGUAUCUAGUACAGUACUAAAGUGUGGUAUAAUGUGUGUGAAUACGAGAAGAUUACGUGUAUGUACAUACUUGAUCUAUCCAUAACAGUGCCAGUUUUCUAUACCCGUGAGCGCAAUUGAAAGAAUAAUCAAUGAACAAUAGCAGUCUAGACCCUAGUUUUGAAAACCGGACCAUUGACCAAACCAGCGAGGCUCUCGGAUCAGAUUUUUCUGCUCGAACGGCUGGUUGAUCUGGUUUGGUUUUUAAGAUAUAACACCUGAGGCCCAUGGCUUGCUUCGCGGCCCAUCUAAUGGGCUGGGCCGGACCUGUGUGUAUACUUCCAGCCCCAUGGAUUGCUCGCAGUCAACCAGGUAGAUCCCGCCUUUUCUUUUGAGCGAAGUGUCGAUCCCAUCUAUUCUGCUCCCUAGCGUUGCACCACCUUUCAUGGGCGACAAGCCCAGUAACUUCAGCUAUCGGGCCAAGCAGAAGAAACAGACGCAUGCCUGUACAUUUAGUACCACUUCCACCAGCUACUACAAGAGAUCGAAAGAAACAUCUACGAGCCUAUAAAUACAGUCAGGCGCCCGCCGAGAGUCCAAAAAUAAGUGAGGUGGGGUUGUAUAAGAGUAUAUACAAAUCCAAAUCACUCCAAAUAAGUGAGUAAUAUCUUUGAAACUGAAUUGAACCAGGCGGUUCAGCAUAAACCGUUCGAUUCGUGGUUUUUAACAAAAACCGGCCGGUAAUCUCUGUUCUGGUUCGGUGGCCGGGCACACCGAUUAAAGUAAGAUAGAAAAUACAUUUUUUUAUAGUAUCUCAUCCUUUCUCCUAUCUCCACCUCACCGGACGUCAGAACGGAGCACAGGGAGAGGGAAGAUGGCACCGCCCACGAGCCAGCAACUGCUGCUAAUCUUCAUCCCGCUGCAGGCCACCAGAACCCGAGGCCGCACAAGUGAGCUGCAAAUUUUUGACCCUUAGGAUACCUUUUGACCUUCCUUAAUUCAACCAAAUAAAUUAAAAAUUUAAAAUGACGACGCAACUUUUAGAAAAGAGUAAAAUACAUCACUAGUCUAUGAACUCAGCAAAAAUGAACACUUUAGUCCACGAAUUUGGAAAACGCACACUGAAACCCCUAAACUGGGACUACUUUGUCACUUUAGUCCAAAAACAGUUUGGCGAGGCUUAAACACGUCAUGUGGCCGCCACGUCGGCUUCGGCCAGGACAGGUUUUCUUAGGAUUUCUUUUGCAAAAUCACCAUGCCUGAGCCGCCCGCGACGGGCAAGGCGGCCAUGCCCAGACAGGGAUCCUGGGGCUUUGAGAACCACAUCGUUGCCGCAGCUGCCUCGCCUAAGGUUGCUAUCAAGUCCACAACGCUCAAUUUUGACGAGAUGACGCCGGUGAAGAGCUCGCCGAAGCCGACAUGGCGGCCACGUGGCGUUUUUAAGUCUCGCCGAACCGUUUGGACUAAAGUGACAUAGUAGUCUCAGUUUAGGGGUUUAAGUUUGCGUUUUUUGAGUUCGUGGACUAAGGUGUUCAUUUUUGCCGAGUUCAUGAACUACUGGUGUAUUUUACUCUUUUGAAAAACAAGUUCAUUUAUUUGAACUAAGAAGGGUCAAAAGGUACCCUGAGGGUCACCAUGUUGCACCUCUACGCACAACCGUCUCCGCCCGCCGCCGGCACCCCGCAGACCGAUUUCCGUCGGGAAUCAAGACAGUCGCCGCUCGAAUCUUGGCCGUCACCAAACGCCGCCAACCGUGAUUGAAGCCGAUUUCGUGGCGAUUCAUGCCGCCACCGCUGCAAUUGGAACCACCGCACUCCACUCGGUCCUCCUCCCAAUGCCCAGCAGCCGCGUGGGCUUAGAGGCGCCGUGGGAGGCUGGUGCAGAGCCCGUGCGUCGGUCGGGCUGCGAGGCGGGGGCGGUCGGCGCAAGCGGCGGCCAUUGGCCGGAGACGGUGGUGCGCUGGAGGAGGACGGAGAAGACAGAGAAGGGGGCUGAUCAGUUCUGGUUGUAGGAGCUCGAGGAUAGGCUUUGGGUUUGGGGGAUAGAGUGAAGCCGUGAGGGACUGCUGGUGGAGAAGAAAAGAUAAUUGCGGGUGUUAUUUGCAAGUUUGACAUUUGAAGAGAUAACCGACGUGUGGACCCAGGCUGACGUGGCAUAAGUCAAACCGCCACGUCAACUGGUCAGAGAGGGGCAAACACACUUAGGACCUACAAUGAGCCACUAGCAUUUUCAAAGAUUUAGGACUGAUUUGUCAUCUUUACGAAAAAAUUAGGGCUGUGGAUGUAUUUUACUUCUUUUUUCCAGUAUUUGGUUGAUAUAUCAGUGUGACAGUGUGAGAGUAGCAACAAAAUAAUUGAAUAAUAGUCACACGAACAGUAUGUGCCAUAUGCAUGCUUGAGUUAGUGUACGUAUAUUCUGUUGAUAGAGUCCAGUUCAAACUGAUCUUGUGUCUAACCACACGAUUGAGUGGCCUACUCUUCUGCGUGCUUGAUCUAGCAAUUACUAGUUGAUUAACACAGAAUGGUUCUUUACUUCAGUUUUCGCAAUUACUACUAGUUAUUGUAGUUCUGAAUUUGUUGGAUGCAGUUUUAAUCCUGUCAUAGCUGAGCUGUUGCCUUCAAGUUAUGGAUUGUGAGACCACUUCUUGCAUCUUCUUCUCGUGUGCAGGAACCCUGGCUAUUUUUGAGGAUGCACAAACAUUCGAGUCUCUAUUGAAAAUGCCAAGAAGAACCUUCAACUAUGUCUGCAGCUUGCUGAAGGAAUCGUCUUUGGAAAUUAUGAACAGCUAUUUCUUUUUUGAUACGAGGUUCUUUUCUUUAGAAGAUCGAGUAGCCAUCGCUCUGAUAAUGCUCAACUCUGGCGACCCACCUGCAACUGUAGGAUCCUUUCUUGGAGUGAACGAGUCAACGGUCUCGCUGGUAACCAAGAGCUUUGUUGAUGCCAUGGCUGAGAGAGCAAAGUACCAUGUGUACUGGCCACAAUCUGAUGAGAGGGAGAAGAUGAAAUCCAAGUUUGCCAAGAUCCAUGGCCUGCCAAACUGCUGCGGCGUUUUACAUACAACUCAUGUAUCACCUGCGUCAAGAAGCUGGGACCAUCAGGAUAAGGAAAGCUUUGUACUGCAAGGCGUUGUUGAUCCAGAUAUGAGGUUCACAAGCACUUGGAUGGGACCACAGGAAGAUGACAUGAACCAGUCAAGCUUUUUGCACAGCUCUAUUCUCUUCAAGAAGUGCGAGAAGGGUACAUGGCUGAACGGCAGAUAUUCCUUCUUAUCAAUCCGAGUUCAACAGGAGACACUCUGCAGCUAGAAUCAUUGCGGUGAAGGCGCUAGCAAGGUUGGAAGACACAUGGAAGUUCAUGCACGGUGAAUGGCGUCCAGACACUCCACGUGAGAUGAUCGAUGCAAUCCGUGUCUGCUGCAGGUUGCAUAACAUAGUGAUAAGCAUGGAAGAGGGUGAAGGCAUGCCCAGUGACCAAGAGGUGAGGUGAAUUACAGCGACGAAGUGCGCCAGUUUGCAAACGAGGACGCUGUCAGGGCACGGGAUGUCCUGUCCCGGUACUUGACCAGCAGGACGUCCGAAUUUAGAGGUAAAUACACUAAUGCUCCAGCAUCUCAAUUUGUUCGUCAGGUUGGGAUAUGCACAUAGUAUUUUCUAUUUAUUCCCCUCUGUUAAUCCCUUUUUUUUUCAUUCAUUUAGUCGACCAGGUGGAUCAAAAGGUUCAACAGGAAGCAGCUCCAUCCGGCUCUGGGGAUAAAGAGCAACAAGAAGUAUACAAAAGAACAGCAGAGGAAGAGAAACGAUGCUAACUAACCAGCUGGAGAUCAGAUCGUCCGUAGUGCUUCUUAAUUUGGUAUUCUUUUUCUGCAAAAGCUUCCAUGCUCCCUGCUUCCAGCUUGGUAGACAAAUUUGAUACUGUCAUGUUUCUUUGGCAAGAAGUUCAACGCUCUUCAUUUACAUGUAUUAUGUUCGUAUGUUUAUGUUGGGUUUAAUUAAACUUUUGUGUGUUGAGAAAAAUGAAUGUGGCUGCAUGCACGGAGACUAUUUAUUAAGUAUUUCCAUCCUUGAGUUGUCGAUGCAACCUGAAGAAUCUGCAAACCAAAUGAAUGCUGAGCCGUAUUGGUGGGGACUGCUGGUUCGCAUGCGGAAAAGGUUACAGGGUCGUUUCAUACCUUGUCUCUGCUGAAAUAAUGCAAUAUUUUUUAUGCUAGCUGGACCAAUUGAGUCGUUUUUUGUCACUAGCUAAUAUAUAUAAUUAAGUCGAAAAAAAAUCAAAGAAGUUUUGUUUGGUAUCGCUAAUUGGCUGCUGGUCUAUAUAUUCACAUUCAGUAGCAUGCAUGUUGCAUGGUCUAUAUAUUCGCAGCUUUCAUUUCCGGGGGGGAAUUUCAGAGAACAGUUAUCCAAAGUGUCAGCAUUUCGAGGAAAUCUUGCUCAAAUCAACACCCCGUGGAUCCGAAUAUCCGAUGCAUCCAUAAGGUCUCUCAGGCCAACUCUCUCAGAUCAGGUACUCCCUCUUGCAGGAUAGGAUAGCACACACCGGAAAUAUCGGAACAUCUUACACUCUCCUCUUCAGUUCGUCGUACAUCGCAUCAGCUCCCUCUUCAUCAAUUUUGUUUGCGACGAUCAACGACGGGCGCUUUGUCAAGCCUUCCUGGUAAUGCUCCAGUUCCACGACCAGAUCAUGCAGCUGCUCCCAUGGCGGGUACCCUUCCUACCGUUGAGCGUGGCUGCCAAGUCGAGCACAUAGGUCAGAACUUUGGUUCUCUCUAUGUGCCUCAGGAGGGCAUGGCCAAGCCCACGGUUUUCACUGAGAAGUAGUCCUCGUAGGUUAGGCUACCGAUAUUGGGCCUAAGUGUGGUGAAUGGAUAGUCAAACUAUUUCCGGCUGAGCCCUAGAGAGAGCACUCAGCAAUGUACUCUUCCCGGCAUUAGGCAAACCAACAAGGCCAACAUGAGCGAUGCUCUUCAGUUCCAAGACAAGAAAGCUCUCUGUUCCUUGCUGUCCACCACUCAAACGGGCUAUCUCCUGUAGCCUGUUUUCUUUCGACAUUCGCACGCCCUUGCCGAUAGAAACACUCCCUAGUCCACCCUCCCCUCCUUGUGCUACAAUCAACCAUUGUCCGGGUCUUGUCAGUUCGGCGACAGAAUACUGUACGUCAUCUUCCUCCCUCUCCUCCUCCGAGUCAUCCUCGUCUUCAUCCUCCCAAAAUUCAUCAUCCUCGCUAUCAAACUGAUCCGUUUCAUCUAUCUCCACCUUAUGUUGAGUGCUACUUACAUUACAAUCUUCAGUGUUUGAAAAGCCAGUUUUGGAACCUGUACUAGAGCAUGUUUGCUUCUCCCACUGAUCGUGCAUCUAGUGAAACAGAGCAUGAUAUAUGAAAAGCAUGCAUCAAGCAAAACCAUACCCUGUGAUGUUGCAAGCUACUGAAAUCCCAGAUAGACCCAGAGCACUCAAGAAUGACAUCACCACCUGUUCCACCAUUGCCACCUGCAAUCAAUUUUCUUUUUUAUCAUGAAUAACACAAAUCACGAGUCUGGAAACUAGACUAGGUAGCAGACACUAAUAGAAACAAUUUGACAUAACGCAGCACAAUCAAACAGAACUAGUUGAACCAAAAAAAUCAGAAGACCGGUGACAAACAACAACGCAUCUAUCAAAAUUCAGAGCUCUAUCAAUUGAUAAAAAAUUGGGUUCUUGACAACUUCACAACCACGCCCAUCACUAAUUCCAUAGCCAGCGAACGCGAAAACUCUCAUCGGAGAAGGAUGGAUGGGGGCAAGAAGAAGAAGGAGGGAAAAUACCUGCAAAGGCGCGGCCUUCCCCUUCCUCUCCUCCAGCACAGAGCCAUGGUAGCUCGCCCACGCCGGGGGCACGUUGGCCGGCGAGAUGCGGCGCAGGACUAGGAGAGCGUGCUGCCGCCGCCGCCACAUCUUCUCUCAGCACGGACUGCUGAAUUCUAAGUACUAGAUUGGAAAGCCGCCGUAGGAUUAGUUGGGUGCGGUGCUCCGGCGGGCGAGAUCCAAGGCGGCGGCCAGCGGAGAGGAAGGUGCGCGAGUGCCGUGCGAGCGUGCUAGGCCACGGCCCAAGAAGAGGAUGUGGCCCGUGGGCUUCAUUUCUAUCUCAAAGAAAAAAAAAUCCGUCUCUGUCGCUCCCCAUUCCGUCGCCGACGCCGAGAGCUCCGGCCACCGCCUACAGCAGAAGCAAUUGGCUCCCUUCCUUUCCAGCAGCUUGCCCUCCUACCGCUAUAAUGUCAACAUCAAGGAUGAUUUUCAAGGUAUCCUCCCACUCCCUACAUGGCGGCGGCCGAGGAUCUAACUAAUUCCAAGGCUGACCGAGGAUUGAAUCCAUGGCGGCGCGACGGAAGGAGGAUUUUUUACCCACGGUGAGUCAUCUCGAUUACUUGUUCAGCCACCUGUUGUCCCCCCUCUUGCCGGAAGAGUACUGAAGGCUUCUUCUCAGGUCGAUUCGAUCCCCUUCUUUCCUGCCGCCGCAAAAGCAAGAAUUAAAGAAUUAAUGAAUCCGGCAUUGCUUCGCCGGCGACACAUGAAAGAAAUCCGCUGCUCAUCAGCUCCCUUUCUUUCUGUCUUGUUGGCCCGCCCAAAACCAAAAAAGAAGCGCAGUGCACUAGGCCGGCCAGGGAUAAAUUCUUUGCUUUUCCAGCGAUUUAAGAAAAAGACAACAUCUUGUCGUUGCCUUUGCUUGUCCUACUACUCUGUUGCAAGCAAAGUAUCAUCUGGGCUUGAUGAUGCAUCGAAGGAGACACAGGCCCGCACCACAUACCAUCCUACUCCAUAGGUAUUUGUUAGAAUCCAAACACAGAGUCUCGGACCAACCAACCAACCAGAGAGCAAGAAACCAAAAAAAAGUUGGAAAUGGCGAUGGUGCUGGAUGCAUUCGCGUCCUACAUCGCCGACAUGCUCAAGCAGGCGGUGGAGGACGAGGUGGGUAUGCUGCUCGGCGUCGCCGGCGAUAUCGACAAUAUGGGCGUCAAGCUCGGGGACCUCAAGAACUUCCUCGCCGACGCCGACCGGAGGAACAUCACCGACCAGAGCGUCAAGGGGUGGGUGCGGAGCUCAAGCGCGCCAUGUACGACGCCACCGACAUCCUCGACGACUGCCAGCUCAAGGCCAUGGAUCGGCAGGGCGUGUCCUCUUCGUCAUCAUGUAUGGCGUGCUGGAACCCGUUGCUCUUCUGCUUGCGGAAUCCCCUCCAUGCCCGUGACAUCGGCAUCCGCAUCAAGGAACUCAACCAGAAGCUUGACGCCAUCAAGGAGCGAAGCGCUGCCUUUGGCUUCAUCAACCUUGGUUCCUACGAGGACCGUAGAAGCAAGGUGCAACCCUCUCGGUUGUCUGCCAGCCGCGAGACAUCAGGCGAGCUUGACCGGUCUGGUGUGGUUGGAGAGAAAAUCGAAAAAGAAGGGUACAACAACCAAAAAAAGUCUCAUCUAGCUAGGCCUGGUAAUGGUGGAAAAUCCGCACCAAAGCCAACCCACACCGUGAAGUACUAAUCACAUCUCCCAAUCCACCCCGAGCCGCAAAUCUCGUCAGAAAAUCCAAACCGCACCAGACCAUUCGGGAUUUCCACCACACCCGCACCAAACCAUAUGGAAAAUGCGGUUUGAACCCAAACCGUGGAUGCUCAGCUAACACAAACAUCACGAAUAUAACAGAGCAUAUGAGCAAUGAAGUGACACCGAACAUGUAUCUAACUUGCUGGUUCAGAAUGUUGAAUCAGCACACAAAAAAUGUACGGAGUAUCUAACUUGCUGCUCUGCAGCCCUUGCUAUAAACGAUGAUAGCUGACGUAUUCUAGAAAAAAAUGAUUAAUUGAAAAACAUUACAGAUACUACUGAGACUGCUACAACAAGAAGCUGGUUUAGGAUGUUGAAUCAGCAAAGGGGGGGCUCAGCACGAAGCAAGCAUCAUGCAUGGCAGGGCGCCUCAUGCCAGAGCUGCAGACUCGGAGCAACUAGUUAAGGACCCUCCUGGGCUUCUUCCCAAUAGAUGUCUUUACAGGCCCAGCAUGUUCUUCCUCUUCAGAUGACACUUCUUUCUCCCUUGGCUUUCUUUAACAACACCACUGUAGAACCUGCAGAGCAAAACAUCUUCAAAACUUACAAAUUUGUUCAGAAAAAAGACAAAUGAGCAGGCCUACAGCCAGAAAAAUAUGUGUAUACCUGUAGGCAUUGAUGGAGAUCAAAGAUCUAGGCGACAAUCACCAUUGGGUCUUUACCUACAAAUGAAAAUGCAUAUCAGAUAAUAUAAAUAGUUGACAUAUUACAUAACUUGUUAAAAUGAUACAGUUAUACCUUCGUUCUCCGGAAGUUCAGUCAACCAAUCUUUACUACAAACCAGUGCCUCGACCAUUUCUGGCUUCAUUGAGCUUCGAUAAUCCCCCAAAAUUCUGCCACCACAGCUGAAUGCCGAUUCUGAAGAUACUGUGCUCAACGGGACAGCAAGAAAGUCUCGAGCCAUUGCUGAAAGGAUUGGGUAUUUCUCGGUAUUUGCUUUCCACCAAGCAAGAAUGUCCCAGUUCUUAUCGGAGGUUUCAACAUGCUCCUCCCAGUAGGUGUCAAGCUCAGAUUUUGGUUCUCUGAAAGCUUUCCUUCUUGAUCUGUAUUGAACAAAUUCAUUGUCCAAUUGCCUUUUACCAAGUACCGGUGAUCCCAUAUUGAUUGUGGCAUCGUGAGUUAUUGAAGUUUCAUUGGAUCUCUUCAUUUGACUUGCAUAUUGUUGAAAGUACAUCUUCAUCACAUCUUUAGCACUCUCCACGUUUAUUUCAAUGUCAUCAACAUGAUCACAACUUUUCUCAUAAAAGAAAUCCAGAUAAUCAAGAUUCCUAGUUGGAUCCAAUAUUGUGGCAAUGAUGAGUGCAUGAUUCAAUUCACUUUCCUUCCAAUAUUUAUCGAAUUUUACACUCAUUGAUCUAGCCAUUCCCUUCACAUAUUCACUUUUUAAGACUUCCUAUAAAUUUUUUCCUCUCUUCUUCUGCGAUUUUGGGGCAGGCCACACUAAUAUGAUUGAUUAGACUACUCGUGCCAGAACUGUGAGUAUUUGUCAAUUUGAGUCUACAAUACAAGCAGACGGCCUUUGGAAUCUCAUCUACGAAAACCAAAUUUGGCUCAAAAUGCUUCCAGACUUUUGAUCUCCUAGUAUUGGACACCACUAAGGUCCCAUCGGUAGAAUUACUAGUACCAGAACUGUCAGACAUAUUGCUGAUAUGUUUACAAGCUAGCCUGAAACAAUACAACUUAGCAACUUUAAACAAAACACAAACAACACUAAAAAUAAUUCUACCAACUAGGUUGUUAUUUGUGCUGCAAAGCUACUGCACUUGUGCUACAAAUCAUCAAGAGGCAAAAGAAACUAGGCAAGCUGCGUACAUAAUCCAAAAAAAUUGCAGAUACCUGUACUACGUCUCCUCCUUCUGCGUAGAUAAUCAUAAGUCCUUCUCCUUCCCUUAUGAAUUGUGACCCCGAGUUCUACAAGAAACACACAAUGAGAUCAAUAAUCCAAAAAAAUUGCAGCUAACUAAAUAUAUUCUUUAAAAAAGAUACCUGUACUACGUCUCGUAGGAUCUGCAGAAGCUUAUUGGCGAGCCAGGCGUCAAAAUCCUCCACAGACGAAGAGGAGGCAGAGGACGUCGGCGGGCGUGGGGCAGCCGGUGACGCAGUGUACUACCUGCAGCCGGUGCCGCAGUGGACAAAGGAAAAAAAAAACAGUUCUUAAUCAACCCCCAAGAAAGAACAAAACAAAUCAAAGAUCGAAAAUAAGGAACAAAAAUUCAGAUUGUUACGGCGGCUUGGUACGUAGGGGAAGGAGCUCCGCACACCGAGAUGGAUCUACAUGGAAGGGAGGCAGGGAGGGCGAGCAUGGCGGCGGGCGUGGAUGAGCAGCUCGGUGGAGGGUCUUGGACCGGGACAAGAUGAACUCCGAGAUGAGCGCCACGCUGCCGGAUCUUCGUGGGAGAGGCGGCGAGAUGGGCUUCGGCCUGAGUGUGGAGGAGGGGGGUGGGCGUGGUGCCGUGAUAGCCGGAGGGUGGAGGGGGCGAGUUGCCGGCGGUGGAUCUGAAGGGUGGCGGCGCGAAUCGGGAGAGAAGAGGGAAUCGGGGGGAGAGGAAUCAGGAGUCAGGGUGGACGGGGAGAGACCAGGCCAGACCAAUCCAAACCGCAUAUUCACUUACACCAAACCGAUCCAAUCCAAAUUUUUUUUCUAUCCAUUCGGAUCCGCACCAACAAAACCUGUUUGAAUACCCGCACCGUUACAACCAUCUUGAUCCGCACCAUUACCAGCCCUACAUCUAGCACAUGAUGAUCGUUUGUUUGGCCUGGGCCAGGCUGGCCAGAUAUAUGGUAGGUGGGCUAGAAUGCACAUGAGCAACCAAAAAAAGUAUCAUCUAGCACAUCAUGAGUAGAUGGAGGCAGCCAAACAUCACACAUUAGCUCACUAUGGUCUACCCCCAGCGGGCCUGGCUGGGAUGUUGGUGUGGAGGCAACCAAACAUGCACCACGUAAGGUGUUUGCUUCCGGUUGUGUUCUUUCUUGGCUUUGUCUUCUUUUCUAGGCUAUCCGUUCGUGGAUUUUCUUUUGUUUUUUUGUUAUAUUUUUCAAUCUCAAUACUCAUAGCUUUGUUGAAUGAAUUAGUUUGAAUAGCAGGAGUUGUGAUGUUGACUUAAUAUGAAUGUAACUCUAGAUCCAUUAUAUUAUAUGGCAGAUUCAUAUUUAAAAAAUGUGCAACCUUACUACUGAAAUUGAACAAUUUGCUUCAAUUUUGUAUUUAUAACAUAAAUCCAUUGUUGACAUAUUUGCAUACUAAGUUUUGUACUUGUAUUAAUUAUUAGAAUUAACAUGUUUUAUUACCUAGCAUAUUAUAAUGAUGAUAAAUAUUAUUAUUAUUGUUAUUAUUGUCAUCUCCAACUGCAACCUGCCAUCUCCUGCCUUAAACCAGCCGUUUCUUACCUCAUGUGUGGGAAAUGCACCCCCGGUCCACGGGCCGGGCAUCCGUACACCGGGCAUGUACUACAGGAUGCUUCACAAAUGCACUGCACCGUGGAGGCAAUGCAUUUGUGAGCGGGAGGGAGCGCAUCCGCAUGUUGCCGGUGCACCGCCACAGGCAUAGUGAGUGCAUUUCUGAGCGGGAGGCAGUGCACCACACCACCGUGGGCGAAGUUGCUGGUGUACCACCGCCGGCGCUUGACAGUGCAAUUGUGAGGCUUGUGUAGUGCAUUGCGCCGCUGCCGAUGAAGAAAUUGAUGAACCUUGCCGCCGACGGGAAAAUCACCGGCGCUGAUGGCGGGCUACACAAUCGACGACAAAUUCACUAUCGAACGCCACGCGCGGCGAGAUGGAUGGUGACUCGUGGGCAGCUCUUCCGCCGGCAUUGAAAUCUCACCGGAGCACAACCGCUUGUCGUGUGCACCGCCGGUGCACAGCCUCCCCAGUGGCACGCUUGUCGCCAACAACGGUGACAGGGAAGGAGCCAGGAUUUAAGAUUGGAUGGGGCAAAUAGAAGAAGUUUAAGAUUGGAGGGUCGAAUUAAGUACAAAUGCUAGUAUUUUUCUAUUUUUCCUCAUAAAUAUCACUAGUUUUUCAUUAAAAAAAUUGUUCUUUUUUACCCCCCCUGUCUCCGUCCCUGAACGGUGAAUCAUCCUCCCUCGCUCCGCUCCCGCGUUGCUCGCUCGUCAGAUCCGUGGGUGCACCGCGAUUUUAUACCGCGCACCUCCAACUUGUGCGAACCCUAUAAGGGAAUGAUGCAUGGUUGCAGAAUAAUUAUUUUGUAACCGGUUUCAGAAUAUAACUAAAUCGGAAUAUUAUUAGUAACUAUAGAUGAGAUUUUCAUAGAUUUAAAGGCACUAAGAGAGACCAAGAAACACAACAUGUUCUGAUGUUAGUAACUCAAGCGACGUCCCGGUUACCAAUCCAUUGACUUGAUAGUUCAAUUCAGGGAGCACAUUCAAUUGUGUUUUCUUUGCUUCUUUUCUCAUGUAAAUUAUUAUUAAAAAACACUAGAUGCUUUUAAGGUAAACUGAUCCUUAUUAACUAUAUUGGUCGGAAUGUUUGCAGGUAGUGUCAAGUGAAAAAGAUGGGCAUGGGAUUGAGACACUUAAAGACAUUGGGUUGCAAAUUAUAGCAAAAUGUGGUGGAUUACCUCUUGCUGUUAAAAUAAUGGGAGGACUCUUGUGUCAGAAGGACAGAGAACGCCAUGACUGGGAGAUGGUUCUAAAUGAUUCUAUAUGGUCAGUAUCUCAAAUGCCCGAAGAGCUAAACUAUGCAGUGUAUUUAAGCUAUGAAGAUUUACCUCCUUCUGUCAAUCAGUGCUUUUUAUACCACUCUCUUCUUCCCAAAACUGGGUUUUUCAAUAAAGAUGGUAUUAUUGGCAUGUGGAUUAGUGAAGGAUUUCUUCAUGGAACCUCAGAUGACUUGGAAGAAUUAGGAAACAAGUACCAUAAGGAGCUGAUACUGAGGAACCUUAUUGAACCAGAUACAUUGUACGUUGAUCAAGCUGUUUGCAACAUGCAUGAUGUUGUCCGCUCGUUUGCUCAAUUUGUGGCUAGAGAUGAGGCACAAGCAGCUCACAGUGGACAAAUUGGUAUUAUCAAUAAACUCAGUGCACAAAAGUUUCUUCGAUUGUCUAUAGAAAGUGAAGGAUCAGAAUCUAAUGAGUAGAAAGUUAGGGCAGCUAAGGUAUCUUAACUUCCGUGGAACUGGUAUAAAUUGUAUACCUAGGGGGUUUUGUGCUCUAACAAAUUUGAGGAAGCUAUUCGGAUUUCCAGCCCAGGUGGAUGGUUAUUGGUGUAGUCUGCAAGAGUUGGGCCCUCUUUCUGAGCUCAGGGUUCUUGGACUGAAUGCACUAGAGAAUGUUUCAGUUACCUCGUCCACUACAAAGGCAAGGCUUGGUGAGAAGGUGCACCUUACCAAUCUAGUUCUAAACUGCAGCAGUAGAUUGGGAGAUGAUGGGCUGAUUAAAGAGGAAGAAGGCAUAUCCGAGGAAGAGAAAAGCCAAAUCGAGAAGGUGUUUGAUGAGCUCUGCCCUCCGCCAAGCUUAGAGUAUCUUUACAUUGAAGGAUAUUUUGGACAACAGCUCCCAAGGUGGAUGAUGUCAACAUCAGCAUCAUCCCUUAAGAGCUUGAGGAUUCUAUUUAUUGAAGACUUGGCUUGCUGCACCCAAAUGCCUGAUGGUUUGUCUCGGCUCCCAUGUCUGCGAUUCAUGAAGAUCAAACGUGCUCCAUCCAUCAAGCGUGUUGGGCCUGAAUUUCUCCAGCCCUACCAUCACCAGAGUCCUCAUCCUUCCCAGACAGUGGUUGCGUUUCUGAGAUUGCAGAAGAUGGAAUUAAUUAGAAUGGUGGAAUGGGAAGAGUGGGAGUGGUCGGAGCAAGUGGAAGCCUUUCCUAUCUUGGAGGAGCUUUUACUCGAUAAUUGCAAACUGAGACGUGUUCCUCCUGGCCUUGCUUUCCAGGCAAAGGCUUUGAAACAGUUAGUCAUAGAAAGCCUCCAGCAGCUCAGCUACCUUGAGAACUUUGCUUCUGUUGUCGACCUUCAAGUGUAAAGCCCUGACCUGGAGAGGGUCUCUAAUCUUCCCAAACUGCAGAAGCUUAUCAUCGUUAUGUGUCCAAAUCUGAAGGUAUUAGAGGGUGUACGUGCACUGCAGAGGCUUGUUUUGGAGGAUUUUGACUUGGAAACACUUCCAGAAUACAUGCGAGGUAUAAACCCAAGACAUUUGCUUCUAUACUGCAGCCUGGCUCUGCUCUCUGCCAUAGCCGCGGGACAGUCUGGCCCUGAGUGGGACAAGUUCAGCCAUGUUGAGAAUGUCAAGGCAUAUGCUGAUGAUGGAGACAAUCUAAGGAAAUGGUAUGUCUUGUACACAAGAGACCCCUACAAGUUGGAGACAAAUGUGAAUCGCUCUUUCUUGUCUGGAGGUAAAUUGUCAUUUGUUCAUUCAUCUUAAUUUCUUCGUCUCUAUUCAUUUAAUUGUUCCCUCUGUUUACUAGCUUUCAUCCUUAUGUAUGUCAGAGUCUCAAAUAUAUUCCCUAUUCAUUUCGCUUGAAUGCCUCCGUUCAGAGUAGGACAUGCAACUUCAGUUUUGGUAGCAAGUACUCAUUGUAUUGGUUGUAUAUGGCUGGACUCAACAUGUUGCCAAAAGGGUUAAAACGAUUUCAACGAGUUAAGAGUAGAGCUGCCGUACUUCUUUUUAUAUUAAAGUUGCUCGGUAUUUUGUAAAUCUGUUAAUAUAGCUAUUGCCUUGCAAGUUAUGGAUUAUGUAACCGCUUUUGUAUAUUCUUCUCACGCAGGAACUGCUAGCUAGCUUCUGGAGAUCAGAUCGUCCUGACUGCUUAAUAGGUAUUCUUUUUUUUAUGCCACAUCUUCCGGUUUAACUUCCCUGUUCCCAUGGUUAUUCUCCAUUCGUUAUUUUGAUACCGACUGAGAAUCUUUAACUCUCUUGGUGACAUGUUGAACUAUUUUGAAAAGAGUAACUCAUACAGCUAUCAGCAAUUAAGUUUGCAGCUACAAAUGCUAUUCAUGGAGAGUGAAAUAUUUUGAUACUUUAAACCUUCGAUUUGAGCAGGUGGGUGGGAAGGGAAUUGAAGCUACAUGAGGCUUCAUGUCAUCCUGCGGCUUGGUCUUAUCAGACGCUUGAACACGAUGCAAUGCAACCCUGGCAUGCAAUGGAGCUAAAGGCUAAUUUUAUGCUGCAACAAGGAUUCAAAGUUCAGUGCUUUUCGUUUAUAAUUGUCAUCUCUUCGGCAAACAGACAAGUGCUGUGUAUUAGUACUCACUCCGUCCAACAAAGGAUGUCUCAACUUUCACUAAAUUUGAAUGUAUUUAUAUACUAAGUCAUGUCUAGAUACAUCCAAAUUUUGACAAAUUUAAGACAUCUUUUGUUGGACGGAGAGAGUAUUUAUUUGUAUGCUGAGUAUUACGCUUUUUUGCGUUGUGGCUCAAACGAUAAUGUAGCUGCAUAAUGGCAACAUGCUGGGGUUACGCUUUUUAGUUCAAAUGUAGCUGCAUAAUGGCAACGAUAAGUAAUAAUUUUUGUGAAGUAUUUGUAUCCUGGAGUAGUUGAUGCAACCUGACCGGCCAAUUUGCGAACAUAAUUGCAGGGAAUGUGUAUGACCGCAUCAAGUUUAGUGUUACGCGCAUUCUGGACAACUAGGCUCUGGCUCAGUAUGACAAUGGAUAGUUAAAAAGUGGAUAUCCAUGGAUAUCCAACCCAUGUAUUGCGGGUAUGGAGCGGCAUUUUGCUCCAUGUAUAUCCAGCCAUGGAUACCCGCCAAGUCAUGGAGCGGGCACAGAUAGCUCAUUCGAUCCAUGGAUUAUCCAUGGAUACCCGGUAUUUAAAAUAAUAGAUGAAUUAAUGACAUGUAGAUUCAUUUUUCAACCAUAUACUCAUAUAAAUAGUUUCCUUCGCCCACAACCAUAACCUUAAUUUGACUCUCAUUCCACUCCCACCCGCCGCCAGCGCCAGUCCGCCGCUCACCCUCCGACCCCCUUCCCCUCAAUCUUCCUCAGAUCUCAGCCGCCCCCAUUUAUGUUGUAUAUUGCAUGGAUAUGGAUAAUUACGGAUACCCGGAUACCCAUGGAUAUGGAUGUGGAUAUUGUUUUGCAUCCACGGAUAUUUUCAUGGAUGGAUAGUUGGUUCGGGGAUGGAUAUGGAUAUGGAUGUGGUCGACCCGUCCAGUUGCCAUCCUGAUCUCUGGCGCGCCCCCCGGGGUCUUGGUGAACCGUAAUGGGUUUGGCUAUGUUCUGCUGAGGCUGUUGUUAGUUUUUUUUUUAAAACUAACCGUAAUGGCUAAUGGGUUAGUAUAAGCGUACCGACAUGCGUGUCCAGACGGUGAAUCUAAAAAUAUUUGAGAGUGAAAUAGUGUGAUGAGAGGAGUGUAUAGCACUGAGAAGCGUAGCUUUAGAAGGACAUAAAAUUCUACGGAUAAGCAUAACAAAAGGUCCAAAUGCCAGAAACAGCAAGUCAUGAAAAAUUUCAAAUUUCACUUGUUCGAUCAAAAGUUUAUCAUAACGGGCAUGAACACUCAUGAGAUCGCUUUCCAGAAAUUUGCAGAUUGCGGUGGCCAGGCAUUAUCCUCGACAUAUGGCUGAACCUUAGCUAGAUGCGCCUUUUCUUUCCCGGAAAUCCAUAUAAACAUAUUCUUGUCCUGAAAAAAUAAAUCCAAAAACACUCAUUACAAGUGACUGUAAAGCUAUUAAGUGCAAAUGAACCUGAAAUUGGAUAACUUAAAUAGGCAAAAAUAUGGUAUCCCUCUGUACCAAAAUUUCAAAAGUAGGGGCGCCCUUUAUUGAGAGCAACCAUAAUAUGUAGAAAACCAGAAUCAAUCAAAAGCAAGAUGAGAUCAAACUUACCAUGGCAUUUCAAUAUCAUAUUAAUAAACAGCUGAUCAGUCCUCCCGACACCAAAUAGGAAACGGAAAUAAACUCUAAAUGGGCUUCAACAUUAUAUACUCCUAGCAUUUAAGUUCUGGGAAAAUAAUGGUCCAAACUGUAUGCGCACACACAAAAAUAUUAAUUUUCUACUUCAUGGCAAUCAAUCAUAUAUACUUCAAGGAUGAUAUAUCACAUUGCAACAAAAGACCCUAACUACAACAAAAUGUAUCAAGUGGACUUAUUUUAAUUCUAGAACACUAUUAUUAGUAUAUUACAUGAUGUGUAGUUCCUAUAUAUUAAAAUAUGGAUAUUGGGAGAUGAUAAAUCAAACUGUUCAUUGGUUAAACAAGAAAUACAUGUCCCAUUUCCUCAAGAACUGUUCGAGGAACCCAUUGAUCAUAAACUCGGUCAACGGUCAUAGUUGCUAAUAAGCUUCCAUCAGGACCAUCACGAACUACACCAUAAAACGAAACCACAUUUGAAUGAUGAAGUGAGCUCGGUAUCUGAGCUUCUUUCCAGAAAUCCGCUAUCUACAAGAUCAGAUAAAUCAGAAUGCAUUUACAAAUAAAAUGUGACUACUAGAAUCAAGUAACUUUACUUUUAGGUGUGAACAUAUGUAUCAUUACGAUCAUGUUGAGAGGGGGAGAGUGAGAUCAAGUUUGUGUCUCCCUUUGUUAAGCUGGAUCAUUCACAAAUCAUAAUCGAAAUCUUCUUCCGGAAAGGAUACAAGGACUGCGAGUCAGGACUGGACAAAAUGAUUGCAGGAGUAAUCAAUCAUGAUCUAUAACAGCUAUUUAUGGCAGAAUGUUCAUAUUUUUUCUCCCUCUUUUCAUGUACAUAACUCUAAUCUUCUGUAUAUAAGUAGGAGAAACCCACUACUUGAUUUCUCUUAACAUGCAAGCAUGCCAAAUCAUCACAUCAUUAAUAUGUUCACACCUAUUUAGUGAGAAACUCAUAUUUGUUUUUCCAUCAUGCUAUCCCACUAUAUGAAGAAUCUAUCAUACAAUUUUAUUUUAUGUUUUGAAUUUUGGAUACUCUUUCGUUGCUACUCAAUUUCACUCGUGCAUGUAUAUUAACUAAAAAUUUCCGCAACAACGUGCGGGACAUCAUCAAGUUGUAUUAUACAGUCAAGGCCUCCACUACUUUACUUGAAAAGAGACUUAUUCAGAACAUAUAAUAUGAAACAUGGAAUAGUAACCUCAGUAUUAGACGAAGUAUAUGUAGAGAUUUUGACCACGAAACAGUUAAGAAGAAUUUUGCUGUGGUACCAAUCCUUAAGUUGACGAACUAACAAGGAAUAACACAUACCAAACGUUCUCUCACGGAUGGCCUUCCAGCUAAGCAACUCGCUUUUGUUCUUCCCCUCCAUUUACCAUGAAAGACUGCCCCAUAAGUACCUGAACCCAGCUCUCUGAUUUCCUUUAGAUCAUCAUUUUUUAUAGUCCACAUGGUCCAUUCAACUUAUAAGUGGGACAUAUGUUGGGUUUCUUCAAAAAUCAAUCACAUGAACGCACACGCUCACACGAUAAUCACCGGAUUAUGACCAAAGGCACCUGUCGUGCCUUGUCUUUAUUUCUCGUAACUCAAAAACUCCACGUUACAAGCUUAUCACAAGUAAGGCCGGCUACCUGCGUAUUUAUACACUCACAUACCUAGCUAUACUAAACUGACUCGUACUAGCACUUGUAUAACCAUACCGACUCAAACUCUAACUAGACUCAAACUCAACUAAGAAACCGACUGCACGCAAGCAGUACUAAUUAACCAACUCCAUAUACUAACACGAGUAUAACUCAGACUCAAGAUUAAACCUAACAACAUAAGCUAAAAUCAAAUAGUUAUCAAGAGAUUAAUUAGUAAAAGACCUGUAGUCCCUUGGAAGCUUCAGCUUCUGCGACUGUAGCUUGGAUUCCAGAACUUUUAUGCCGGUCACCGCUUCCAUGCACAUCAGAGCCCUGAUAUCCAUCAGUAAUCUGCAGAAAAAAGGAAUUUGAGGGAGCGAAUUAGGUAGCUUAUUGAUUAAUGUUUUUUGUUCAAGUAUUACAUACACCGUAGUCACCUCAUCAAACUUCUUCCCAUCAUUGUCAUCAUCACAAACAGGCGAAAUAGCAGGGAUAGCAUCUGCUUGAACCUCUCCUGAGCUGAGAUAAUUGCUUUUGGAAACCAUUGAAGCUGGCGGUUACACGAAGAAGGCGCAAAAUGAUACGCUCUACAAUUGGAAUCGUUGGAGGACGCGCGCGGUCACAAAAUGCACCACCCGGCUGUUAGUGCAAAAAGCCAAAUCCGGGUGUUCUAAGAUGCUGUCCGGGGAUUGUUAGUUAGUAUGCGGGUCCCACCUGUCAUAACUUAGCCGUUAAGCGUGGGUCCCACUUGUCAGAAGUUGACUGGUUUUUGUGGUCCCGACAUGUCAGUUGUUGACCGUUAUUUGUGGUUCCCACAAGUAGCCCGUGCCCCCGUUCCCCAUUACCCGACACGCUCCUCUGCUUCCUCUGUACCGACCGACCGCCGCACCGCCGCUACUCCAUCCCUGCCGCCACUUCUCCGUACCCGCCGCCGUUUCUCCGUCCCCGCCGCUGCUCCACCCGGCAGAUGACCUAGGUGGCCGCUCCCCGGUCUGGCCCUAGCCCACGGUCCGCAGUAGAGGCUCGCCGCACCCGGCACUGUCGCAUCGUGGGCACCGCCGUCGCGCGGUCGAUUUAGCCCAAAAGCCACCGUCAAUCUUCGGGGAAGAAGAUGUCGAGGUCGAGCAAUGCCUCUCGUAGCAGCACGCGGCCGAUGUAUGGGCAGGUUCCCCUCUCCCGGUGCCCCGAUUGCCCACGGGUGGAGCCGCUAGUCCGCCUGACGUGCAAGAAACCGGAGAUAGGGAAUUUCGGCCGCGAAUUCGUCAAAUGGGAGAGCCGGCCGCAACCAGGGAAGGUAAAUUGCAUGUGCUUUCUCAUUCAAUUUUGAUUUAAUUUGGGAUUUUAGAAUUCUAGGGUUUGCACUAAAGGGGCUGAAAUUGUGAAAUCGGGGCUGAAAUUGAUGGGCUCUCGAAAUUGAUGGGCCAUGUUUGAUGUUCUUGUAGUUACUGAGACAAUGUAGCUUUUUCAUGUGGAUGGAUUCGUACGUUGAGAAGCUUCAAAUGGGAGGGAAGCUGCAAAGGCAUGUGAUGGAGGAGCAGAGGAGGGCAAUGGAAAGGCAGAUUUGCCCCUUUUGGAAGAGGUGAAGGGCAUGAAUGAGAAGCUGACAAAGUUGAUUGAGUUGAAGAAAGAUGAGAUGCAAGUUGCCAAACUGUUUUAUGCUUGUAUCAUCAUGUUGGGUUUGAUUUUAGUCGUCAGGAACCCGUUCAUGUAGCACUUUGGUUUUAGAAUAAGAGCUAGAUUGAAGGAAGAUUUGAUGUUAUGGUUUAUGUAAGAGAGCUCUUUAUGUAACUUUAUGUAAUGGUGUAAUGCAAAAAACUGAACCUCAUUUCUGAAUGAAGUGCUUCACACAGCUACGGUUUAAUGCAGGAAACAGAGGUUCUCGUUCUCAAAGUGCUUCGCAUAGCUAACAUUAGAGGUUCUGAAAGUGCUAAUCGGUUACAUAGCUAAAUAUUAGAGGAGAGGCCAUAACAGAGGGAGGGGUCCUUGAUUAGCAGCCUCAUUUCACCUUGUGAAAAUAACAAGAGGCUCGAACGAAAUAUCCAGUCAGCUAACCUAUUAGCUAGAUAAUCUAGCUGGUGACCCGAAUCCAAAAUAAACAGGAGACGCCCAAGCAUGCCAUCUUUUGCCGUUGCUGAUCAUCGGGGGCUCUCGAUCAUUAGGGGUCACCAUAGCAUGCCGCGGAACCAAGCAAUGGCCACGGCAAUCACGAAGCAGGUAGCAAACCAAGCUAGAGCAGUGUAUACAUCCAUCGCACCUCCAAGCAUAGCCAACCGAACUUCGUACCCAAAGCAGAUGCUGACAACGACAAGCCCCUCGUCGACGGCCACAAUAUCGUCUCUUGGUCCAGCUCGAGCACCUGCAAAAUGGAGACGCGGCAAACGGAGGCGAGCAAGAGAGCCGAGCAAUGCCGUAAUGAUUGCCCCUGGAGCUGCAGAUGAAAGGAUAGCAGUAUGUCGGGUGAUAUCCACCUCAGCAGAGUCGGAGAGGACGGGGGCGGCCGUGGAUAUUGACCAGGACGACGAUGUGAGCGGAAGGAGAAAGGCCUGCGUGUUGGGCACGUCGGCCUCCCGCCGUGAGUCCCUGCUGCGGGCCACCACUGGUCGCCGAAACAAGGGCUCCUCGGAUGGGCUCUCCUCCGACCGCCGCAAGUGUCCCACCGCCCACCGAAACAAGGGCUCCGAGGAGAGCGGCAGCCGGUAGCGCAUUGCCGGCCGGUCCGCCGGCCCAGGCACCUUGUCGUCCGGCUGCGGCUAGAGCGGAAGCUCCUCCUCCGACCGCCACAAUGAGGGCCCCAAGGACUGCAGCUGCUGCUCCAUAGCCGGCGCCGGCUUCUCCUCCCGCAGCUCCACUGCCGGCGCCUACUCCCAGAGCUCCACCGCUGGAGCCGACUCCCUGAGCUCCAUCUCCACUAAUGGUGAGAUACCCGAGAGCUUCCGUAAUUCGAGCCACCUCCUCUUCCGGCAUUGGAACUAGGCUAGGGAUUGGGUGUGCUGGGGUUUGGAUUGGGCUAGGUAUUUGGGGAGAGAUUUGGGGGAGAAUGGGGAAUCAGUGGAUUGGAGAAGGGGCUAGAGAAUGGGAGAGCAAGGGGAAGCUUAGGUGUGAAGGCAAACGGAGGAGUGAGAGUGGCAGGAAGUGUCAGCCGUCGGUGAGGUGUAAUAAGUGAAGGUGGAGGAAAUUUUAUUUUGUGCUCCAUUUUCUUUAGCACGUGUCAAAAUCAUCACUGUCAGGCACGUACGAAACGCCCGCCACUGAAGUAAGAAACGCGGCAAAUCAAAAUUCUUCUAAAUUGAUCAAAAAUAGGCUAAAUGUUGGACUCUAAUACUUGUUUAGAGAGAUAUAGGAAGUAAUGGGAUAGUUUAAGACCAGAUAAAGCCUCGAAACCUCAAAACCGUGGUGGAAAAUGGAUUGUACUCGAAUGUUUGUCGAAUGGGGCUUCAAGGUUUAUCAGUGUCGGUCAUGCUCCAGGACCGACACUGAUAUAAAUUCAUGAGUUUUCUAGAAAUAAGGCGAUUAUGUGUUCAAGUUCUAUGAUAUUUUGAAUGAAACUUUUUAUGGACUAUUUUGUGUCUGAUCUAGAUGAUGUGUACAAAUUUCAGAAUUUCUAGAGGCAGGAAACUAUAUUUCGUACAUAUUUUGAGUUAAUCAUGAUUUCGUUUGAAAAUUCAAAACUGAUUGCUACAGUUUGCAAAUGCACUGUUCCUUGUGGUAGGAAAGUUUCAUUGGAUUGAUUGAAAGGUGAUAGAAGUUCCAUACAUGACUCAAUUUAUUAUUUGAGACGUGUAAUGCAUGUUUUUGGGACUUUUAAGGUUUAUUGAUUUUGGGAAAUUAAUAGUAAUAUGAAAAAUUGAUCAGAAAAAUCUGAAAACUUGCAUGUGUUAAUUGUUUGGCAAAUUUUGCCAUCAUGCAAAAUUUCAGAUGAUUUUGAAUAAUUAUGAUCAUAACUUGUGUUGAAACUAGCACAUCUCAGUGAGACGUUUCAGAAACACUCACUUGAUUCCUCUGGAUCCGGUUACUUUUUCAAAUUUUGUACUUACACCUUUUUCCAAAUCACUUCAAAUUUGGUACACUUCCUCCAUUUGGAUAGUAUUUUUGAGAAAUAAAAAAAAUGAGUUUUCGGUUAAAUAUUAUUUUUUAAAAUUUUGAAAUUCAAUUGAAAGGCACUAAUUUGAAAAGAUAGGCCGAAAUUCCUUGUGAAAUGAUAUGAAAUUUGGCAUGGAGUAGGCUAAUUUAUGUACCGAAUUAUGGGUGGGAUGUAAAACGAAAACGAAUAUGCCAAAAGGUAUGAAAUUUUGAAAACGGUUCGAAUUUUUUGAAAAUUAUUUCAAAAUCAACUUGCUCAGAAUGAUUUGAAAAUUGGCAGGUGGCAAGAACUUUGUAAGGAGACACCAUAUUUGCAUUAACCUUGCAAUUUUCAUUUCACGGUGUGGUUUUAAGAGGUGUUCUAAGUAUGAUUUUGACGAAUUUAAAAUGUGCUUUCGAGAAAGUUAACUUUGUCAAAAUGAGUUGAAAUUUCGGCCGUGCUAAUAACUUUGCAAGGAGAUUCCAUUUCGGCAUUUACUUUUUGGUUUACAGAAUGUUGAUUUUUGGAGGGUUGCUACAAAAUGGGUCACUUUGGUAGACUUGAGCCCCAUUUUUGAGCUCACUUCACCUGCAACUUGUGUGCCUGAGUGGCUGAACACAUGAAGUUACUUCAUAGCUUAUACCAACAAAGUUGAAAACCAACUAACAUGAAUCUGAAUGUCUAACACACACGAUAUUGAAUAAAAUUACAGCAGCGAUUAACACAAAUCUGAAUGUUUAACACACAUCAAUCUGGUCCAAAUGGUUCUCACACAAAUGGUUCUCAUACAAAUGGUUCUCAUACAAAUAAACACGGCUCACACAAAUGGUUCUCACACAAAUUACAACUGCCACACAUCUUUAGAAUAAAGUUUUGAUGCUGCUCUCUUCCUUUUAAGGGUCCUUUAGUGGCUAGCCUUUUCACCCUAUCUGGUUUCACUUUUUAUGCAACAUUUGGAGCUUCAACUUCAGCAGCAUUUGGAGCUUGGACGUUUUCAGCAGCAACUUCAGCUUCAACAUUUUCAGCAGCAACUUCAGCAUUUGGAUCUGUCCAUUCUUCAGCAAGCCAAUCUUCAACAUCUGGAGCUGGCCAAUCUUCAGCAUUUUCAGCUGGGGCUGAAGCUUCAGCAUUUUCAGCUGGGACUGCGGCACUCUUCUUCUUUCUUCCACGAGCCCUGGAAAUUAGGAAUGUCAGAAUCAGAACAUAACCAUAGGAAAAAAACAUUGAUAAAUAUGAUAGGAAAAAACUUGCCCCUUAGUUUUUGGUGGAGUCAAAAUAAAGUAACUAGAACCAGCACAAUAUCCAGGUUCUAGACAACUCUUGCAUUUCUCUAGAUGAGGGGCAUCUAGAUCCCAGCUCCCUCUGCAGUCUUAUUUUUUCCACGACCCCGAGGUUUUGGUGGAGUGAAAAUGCAGAGAGGGGAGUUAACACGAUGGCCAAUUUCUAGACAUUUCUUGCAUCUGUGUUUGAUGCCUAUGGCUGCCUUUGAAUUAAGUCUCUCUUCCUCUUUAGCCUUCUCCUCUUUAGUUUUCUCCUCUGUCUCAUUUGUCCCCUUUGCCUCCUUUGCCUCCUUUCAUUUGACCUUUCGUCCCAGGUUUUCCACCACGCUCAAAGAAAUUUUUGAAACAUUUCUGUUUAGACCUGCCAGCUUUUCUAGUUAUGUUUGGGGCAUGCAUAUCAACUCCAAGUUCCACCUCAGGCCAUUGUGAUUGAUCUGUAAAUGGCUGCACAAUUCCUGCAUAUGCUGCUUUAAACCUGGCCACUGAGUAACAUUCGUCCAGAAAAUUCCCCAUCAUCAAGUGAUCUCUCGCAGACAACACUACUAUAGCAUGCUCACAAGGUUUCCCUAUUGCUUGCCACUCAAGACAGGAGCACUCGUGUAAAUAAAUAUUCACCACAUGCCUCCUCGUGUUCGUUUUGUUCAUAACCUCAGCACAGUUAGUUGAGGCAUUCACAACAUGAUAGUGUCCAAGUCCUCUACUCUUGCAUACAAGCUGCUGAACGACUGUUGGUAGUUUGUCAUGAUGCAAUUUCUCACCUAUCUGUAUCCUGAUAUUGAACAGAUUCAUUAUUCUUAUCCUGAUGUUGUCAACCAGCUCAUGAAUAGGCAGGUCCUUCAGAUCUCUUAUCCAACUAUUAAAACUUUCUACCAAGUGGUUAUUGAUAUGAUCAACUUUGAUAUAUGUAUUAAAGCCAGAUCUAUACCACAACAAAGAAUGAUAGUUAUUCAGAUAUACACCAAAUUCCGGACAACCACCCUCAGAGAUUGACAACAUCUUAUCCAUAUGGUACUUGAAAGUGUCAUGCAUGUAGGGUCUUGCUGUUGGCCACAUUUUUCCAAAAACUUUUCCUUGAAACUUUUUAACCAAAUUGAGCCACAAAUGGAUGAAACUCCCUCCUCUCAACAUGUGGAAACACAGUUUUCAGAGCAUUCUCAAGACCUUUAGAAGCAUUAGUGCAUAUUGCCAAAGGAUUCAUAUGUCCUAACGACAUAUGCAACUGAGUCAUGAACCAAGUCCAAUUAGCCUCUGUCUCAGACUGAAGCAAGCCGAUGGCAACUGGAAACAUCCAAUUGUUGCCAUCUAUAGCUAUGGCUGCAGCCAACUGCCCAUUCCAUUUUCCAUUCAAUGCAGUGGAGUCUAUGCUCAAGUAUGGACGGCACCCUGUUUUAAAACCAUCUAGACAAGGCUUCAUGGCCAUGAAGAACCUAGAAAAGAAUACCUUGCCAUCAUCUUGUACAUAGGUGUCUACCUCACAUACAUUGCUAGGUGACCUCAAAUGCAUUUCGGCUCUAAAGGUGUACAACAUUCUGAAUGCAUUGCCCCAGUCACCAAACAGCUCCUUCAUGGCUCUUUGUUUCCCUUUCCACACAGUGCUGUAGCUCCUUGUGCAUUUGUAAUCCCUUUCCAAGUCGUCUUGAAGUGUUUUUGCAGUUGUGUAUGUUUUUUUUGCUCAAAAUGGGGUUCGCCUGUUCUGCAACCCAGGCUUGAGAAGUCAUUUUUGUAACUUUCCUUGAGGAUGACAUACAUGUGUGUUUGUGUGGCAUCCGAUUGACCCUGAUGAGCCUCCCAUCUGGUUGCCUUCUCGCAGACAUAUACCAUCGACAAGGCAACAUAUUGCCAUCCUUACGCCUGCAUUUCGCAGUGAACCUGUUCUUGUCAGUCCAUGCAGUCCUACCUUGAAACUCUUUCUUCAGAACAUAUGACCUGAAAGCCAUCUUCAAUUCCUCCAUACUAGACCAAAACGUACCCACUGAUAUAUCAGGAUUAUCUUCAUCAUGCACCGUGCGCACCUCUUCUUCAUGCAUGUCAUCUACUACAUCUCCCCCAUCUUCAAACAUCUUGGCAACUUCAUCUUCGUCAUCACCACGUUGCUCCGGGGGCACACGCAGUUGAGGAGGGGGCGGCGGCAACGUUUGUUCCUCAUCAGGCAAUGGAAUGCCAAGAAGUUUGGCCCAUUUUCUCUCGCAGUAAAAUUUGCGGAGUAAAAUUUGUUGGCUCAUCAAUAUCUACUUGACUAUAAUCAACAGAUGGCCCAUUUGUACUGUUCUGACCGAAAUCAGCCACAUUCCUGACAGGCUGACUCUCUACAAGAAAUGCUGCGUCAAGGAGGGUAUCUGCAGCUUGCGACCGAACAAUUCCUACAUGUGAGUCUUUGCUGCCAUCAAUUAGCUCUGCAUAAAUUGUUUGUUCAGGAUCCCCAUUUGCUGUGCGACCAGCUACGAUUGCUUCAACAAGCUGCGGUGCUGUCGUGAUUCUCCUGUAUUUCUGCCCCCUCUGCCUCUCCACAUAGGUACAUAAUUCCACUUCUUGCCUUCAACCCCAAACCACCUUCUUACCCAACUCCCGUAUGAAAUCUUGAACAUUGAUGCCAUCCACCUUGAUUCUCAAAUCAACGUGCAUAUUCCUCUGAAUCAACUUCAUAGUGCCAUCGUCUAGCUUCGCAAUGCAAGGACGAAACCUCACUCUCACUGGCUCCUCGCCGUCGCGGGGUUGUUCAUUCCUACCGGCGAUGGAACCAAAUCAAUUUCCUCCCCCCGGAACCGAAUGGACCGCCGCCAGCGUCUUCCAGGAUAACUGCGCCGCCUGGGACUGUCCUGGCGGGCUCGAGCUCAACGACGACGAAGAAGACAGAGGAAGAAUGCCGUCUUGUCAAACUAGUUCAGGGCCCGCAUGUCUGCAUAUGCCGCGUGGCUAGUUCUCGUGGGACCCACUACUAUCUAACCAAACUGUAAUUAGAACACGCCGUUCAUGAUGAUGUUAAGAACUGGCCCAUGCGAUAUUUUGCACUUACCCCCCUGGUGGUGUAAUUUGUCAAUUAGGCGUAUGUUGGUCGAUUUCAUUCGUGCAACUCUCACGAUUCUGCCAACUUCAGGUUUCUAUGCUUUUUAAUGGUUUAGAAAAUACAUCGGCCCCUCCUGAGCUAGUCGGCCAUUGGAUUGACCUGCAGACUACUCAUAUAACUUAAAAUACGCAAUACAUAACCACAGUGUAUAUGUUGGAUUAGUUACCUGAGAGCACUACUGGCCCGAUACUGACGAAGAAGACAGUGACAGCGAGCAGAUACCCCAACCUUGCGGCUCCAUCUAUAUAUCACCUCCUCAUUUUCGCUGAAGACCUUAGGCAAGCUACUCCUCCAAAUGAAGAAGACAGCCAUGAAGAUGGCACCGGUGAAGACCGAUGUUGUGGCCGCCAAGGCCACCGCGAACUUGGCCGACUUUGGUCUGCCCGCUCCGAUACCCUGACGCUGGAUCAUAAACAUGCUUUUCAGUAAGUGAGCUCUGUUAAACCGAUGCCAUAUAUUUAGGAGUAGAUAAGUUUGAGCUCGUUGAUGUUCUUUAGUUAUUACCUGACUGCUUCGCCGAAGCCUAGUGCGACCAUCAUGAUCCAGAACUCGUAGUUGAUACUGUAGAGUGUGCGAGUAUUGGUAAGAAAAUUAAACAUCCCUCCUUCUCGACAGAUCAUCCGUGUGGUGUAAUUAAAAAGGAAACAAGGAGCAUACCAAACUGACAUGAUAUGUAGCUGGAGUUGGCCAUUCUUCAGGAGACCCACAAAAAUCAGCAAUGCAGCGUAGUACCAAAACUCCAAACUGUAUAUAUUUCACAACACAAAAUUGGAAAUCGAAUGAAAAAACAUGUUUCGAAGAGUUUAGUUAAUUAAUUAAUCAGUAAUGUUGUUUACUGAAUUGGAAAAUCAAAUUUAUACCGACCCAGACCAUGACGGCUGACACGAGGGAGAGCUUGACGAACACGGCGAGGUUUCUUUUUCUUCUUUUUUUAUAACGACGACCGGUGCGAAUCAGAACAGAGAUGACUGCCUCCAGAUAAGAACAACUACAGCAAUACAAUGUUUCCUUUUCUUCUUUUUUUAUAACGACGACGGGUGCGUGGGUUUAAGAGGGCCCAAAGUUGUGUGGGCACCGCACGGACGGCCCAAAGGAUUUUGGCCAGUUAGUUAAUAUGGGCCGUGAUGGGCCAUCGCCUUCGUCUCAUUCUCUUUCGGACAGUCUUUUCUUUCCCCCAAAUGUUGUUUCUCGCCGGUCGCCGCCCACCGCUCCGGCGGCGGCGCCUCCACGCGCCGUCUUGGUAGCCCACCGGCAGCUGUAGAGUAUAAGAAGCUGGCUCCCUUCGACGCCCGCAUCCAGUCACAUGGCGGCAGCAGCCCCAUCGGUGAGUUAUUAGGCGGUUCCUCCAUCCCAAUCCCGAUCCCAUGGCAGCACCCAACACGAGUGACUUCUCUAUAUAUAGACCACAGGACUUCUCUAUAUCUAGGUAUCCCCUUUUCCUCCUACACAUCUCCUUCCUCCUCCGGCCGCUCGAUACCUUAGCUUCUUUUUUUUCUUAGAUACCCCCUUGGGUGUCGCACUCAUAGUUACAGUGUUCAGGGAUCCCCAUUUCCACAAGGAAUUUAGUUCUUGUUUCGCAUAAAACUAUAGGAACAUGGCAACAAUGACAAAGAGUACUUUGAAUUCGUCUACAGCUAGGCACCGACCGGGUCACCUUCGUGGCCAGAUAAUCGUACCUAGCUAGCUGCAGGUACAACAAUUGAUUUGAUGGACUGAGAGAUCGACAUUUUUCUUAUGUAGUUUGAAUUUUUUUUUAUGAAUCCUAAACUAAUCGAGUAAAAUUAUUCACAGGGAUUUAUUUUUCUAUGAUUCUGAAGCUGGCUCAGUAGCCAUGUGGUAGUAUUUCACAAGGAACUAUGUAUAUACAAUCAUUAUUCACUGAGCUCCGAGGAAACACAGAAGGCGGCAACUUUAAAAGUAGGUCACUAACCAUGUAAUGAUGGUUCCACCAAAUAAUUCUAGCUGCAUGGUCCAUCCGUCCUAUGCAUGAUCUGCAUACCAGUAGCAUUUCCAAGCCUCCCGUGUUCACAUACAGAAGAUAACCCAAGGGGUCGCUCUCAACCACCAAGCUAAUGUGUCAUGUGUUGUGUUGGUCCUCACACCUUUCUGGACAAUUCUCAGUAAACACAAUGUGCAUCGUUUUAGUACACACCACAGCUUACCAGGUCUUGUAUUCACAGGGAACCAAUCAUGCAUUGAGAUCCGAGGAAACAGGGAUGGAGACAACAUUAAAAACACGUCACCAACCAUGCCGGUGCUUCCCAAUAAAUUCCACCUCCUAUGAUGGGUGUACAGCAUAAUUUUUUUUCCUUGCGGCCGAUAGGAACUGCUGAACAACCACUAGGCAACCGUUUCACAUUCAUGUCAUCUUGGACAUCAAUUCUUCUUGUUAGAUGUAAGCCUCACCUGUGGAAAUAACGUGUGGUUUGGAUGCAUGCAUGGAUCCGUUCUCACUUCUAAAGUGUCUGCAAUGGAAAAUUAGUUGCAUCGAUCUAGAGCAAUCUUAACUUCAAAAUAGCUUCGAAAUUGAUAUGAACAGUUAAUUUGAUGCAAUCCAAUAGCUUUCUGUUCGGGGCACUUUAAUUUGAUGCAAUCCAAUAGCUUUCUCACUUCUUCUCUUCCUUGAGAUGUGUUCAUGCUGCCACAUGACUUCAUUGAAGUCCCCAAUCACCAUCCAUGGUUCACUGUUCGGGAAAAAGGUGCAGGAAAAGUUACAGUGUGAACAUAUAUAUUUGAUCUUUUAUUUAUAAAGACGCAUCAAAAGACGACUUAGUCGUUGACCUGAUCUCUGCUGAAAUCCUGAAGUAAUACGGCACAUUUGAUGAUAGCUGGCCGGGUGGAGUUAUUUCCAUCACUAGCUAAUAUACAUAAUUAAGUUGAAGAAGUUUGUGCUGCACAUGGAGGCCUACGAAAUGAAUAAAUCCGGCCCAAAGAAUUUGCUCAGUGUGAGUGAUUAUUUGUUCCUCCAAUUGUGUAACACUGGACUAAUUGUGCGCAUACAGAGAGAUUGAGUGGUUGUUCUCUUCCGCCAUUAAUUUUUUGUAUGUUCUGCAGUGCCCAAAUUAAACGGAAAAAAGAGAAAAAUGCAUACUCUGAAAUUCAUUUCCUAGCGUUAGAAUUCAGAGUGUUGACUGAUUGACCUUUAUUUUGAGAAAGUGUGUAUGCUAUUCCUUGAGAAAAUCAUGUGACUGUUUGAUUUUGAUGUUUGGAGAGUAGUUAUCAUAUGAGCUGUUUAAUUACUUCAGAAUCUGUCCUACAAUGUGGGCAUGUUUGCGUACUUGACAAUCUCUGUGUAACUUUUUUUUUUGGAUAAUCUAAUAUGUACUUUCAUGUUCAGUUGUAAUCCCAAUCAUAUGAUGGAUAUACUAUUCUCUUCAAAUGAAUUUGCAUCUGCAGCUAGUAAAGGUAAACUUUAGCCAUGCUAAAUUAUUUAUUAUUUCUUUGAACAUAAAACAUAAAUGCAUGAGGCGUUCAGCUAGUGCAGCAUGAGUUUCCUGCUGAGAUUUAGUAGCUUUACUGGCAGCAUUCAGCAUGUGCAGCAUUAGCCCCUGUUGCUGCUGUGCUCUCACUGUUGCAGCCUGAUUAUUUAACAGUAAUAUUUAUAUUACUCCGACCUUUGUGUAUGAUUUGUGCAACAGUUGUGCAUACUUAUAAAUACAUAAAAAAUGAAUUUCUUAACUUGGAGAUAAUGAACCAAGCUCUCUUGGGGAAAUGGAUUUGGAAACUUUUUAAUACAUCUGGACUUUGGCAGAAUUUGCUCAAAGCUAGAUACAUAAAAAAUGCUUGUUUUGGUGGGAUUAAACAUAGAAAUGGAGACUCUAUGUUCUGGUCAGGAAUCUUACGUUUUAAAAAGAAAUAAGUCCAUUUUACCUCCCUGAACUUAUCGCGAAGUCCAAAAAACACCCUGAACUCUGAAACCGGGUAUUUAACCCUCCUGAACUUUCAAAACCAUGCACCCGACCCCCCCCCCCCCUCUGCCUGUUUUGAGGCUGUUUCGCUGUGUUGAAGGUGGUUUUGACUCAUUUAACUGCCAUGCUGGCAAGCGAAUCAUUUCUCACUCUCUUCUUAUCCUGAGUUCUUCUACGGCGAACCCGACAGCAACCUAGUUCGUCGCCGCCACCACCCGCAGUCCAAUCUGCCAGCUUCCUUGUCAAAUCCGCCGCGCUUCCUGCUCAUUUCAAUCCCUCCGCAUCGACCCUGAAGCUCGCAGCAGCUGCUUCCAGUCAGUUCCGCUGCCGCCGGUGAAUCUGCAAUGUCGUGGACCUCCGGAUCCUCUACCAGGUCGAUGCUCUAUGAGGUAAGCUCUUCCUUUCUUUUCUGCUGUUCGAUUUCAUUUGCUCUCUGUCUUUACCCUCUGAUUUUGAUUAUGUUCCUUUCUUUAGGAUCAGUGGGAGAGAGAUGGAAUCGACCCCUGCAGAAGAGAAUUGGGCGGGGGCGAGAGGGAAACUGGUCUGCUUAACCGCUGCUGCCGCCAAGCAUCUUCCUCUUCACCUUCCUCUUCUCUCUCCUGCACCACCCUCCCCUUCUCCCACUCGCGCCGCCCCUCUGCGCCUCCCUCUCGCUCGCCCCUCUGCUCCCCCUCUCGAGAAAGACCUGCCACGAGCCGCGGGAGGUGGCGCCAGUCUGGACUCUGGAGGUGGGUCUUGACUGCGUUGAUCGGGAGCAGAGCCGCGUAGGUGAAGGCCCUCGCCGCGGUGCCCGUGGACGACGGCAUCUCCGCUCACCGCCGGUGCCGUUGCCGCCCGCAUGCUGAGAAUAAGAGGAGUCGGGUUCGGGGAGGGGGAUACAUCAAUGACUUGUGCCAUGUGGCAGUGCCACCGUGGCAGUCAACGGGUCAAAACCACCUUCAACACAGCGAAACCGCCGGAUACAGGCAGAGGGGGGUCGAGUGCACGGUUUUGAAAGUUCAGGGGGGUAAAAUACCCGGUUUCAAAAUUUAGGGUGUUUUUUGGACUUGCGAUAAGUUCAGAGGGAUAAAAUGGACUUAUUUCUUUUAAAAAUGAUUUUUUGAAGUGGUGUAAAUUCCUUAUUGGAAAUGGUCAAAAUACUAGAUUUUGGGAAGAUUGGUGGAUUGGAGGGAAACCUCUGAUGUACCAAUAUCCAGAUCUCUAUGAAAUUUGUUUUAGUAGGAAUGUUUCUGUAGCAACUGUUGUGGCCAAGAAAGGCAUAACCAUCUUCAGACGCACCUUGUGGGAGGUUCUGUAUUCUGAUAGGGAGAACAUUAUUGCUGCUUGUGCCAGAGUUAGACUUACUUCCUCUGAUGAUAAAUUUGGUGGACUCCCUGUCAGAAAGGGCAGUUCACUGUCAGCUCCUACUACAAGAAGCUGAUGUGGGGUAAUAUUUAUUAUUGAUUUCCCUCAAAAAUUCCUAUAGAAAAUUAAAAUCCCGCUGAAAAUUAGGAUAUUUUUAUGGUUGAUUGCCCAUAAAAGUAUUUUGACCAAGGAUGUACUAACUCAUAGGGGAUGGGAAGAGGACACUAAAUGCCAGUUUUGUGGGAUGGAAGAGUCAAUUGAUCACUUAUUCCUUCAUUGUUCGUUGGCAAGAUUUAUUUGGAAUGUUCUUAAAUGUGCUUUCGAUCUUCCUGUUCUGCCAAAUUCUGUGGAAGAACUAUGGUUGACUUGGCUGCCUGCUUUCUCAGGCAAUUCAAAAAAACUUGUUAUGGUUGGAGUGGCUGGCCUGUUAUGGGUGCUGUGGAAUACCAGAAACAGGGCCUGCUUCUCAAAUGUUAGAAUUACUUCCCUUUUUGGGGUAAUCAAACUGCUGUGCUAUUGGCUUAAUCUCUGGUCGAUUUUGCAAACAAGGGGACAAGACUGAUCGAACAGGUUGCUAGAGAAGUGUUUGAGGCGACUAGAGGAUGGUGUCCAUUACAACGAAUUGCUGGUUGAUCAAGGACCUGUUUGCUGUAUACUGAAGUUUUCUGUUGAAGCUGCUGGGACUCAAUGAGAAUUUGCGAUGGGGGCUUUGUCUGGGUGAGGACUGCACUAGGUGCUGGGAGAGGUGUGAGGGGGGGGGGGGGGGUGGGGGGGAGGGAAAACCUCUCUUUUUCAAAAAAAAAAACUUAUAAAUACAUUGCAUAAGAUAUUUAUUGUUUGACAGACACUUGCAGAUUUAUCAUCUGCUCUGCCCAUAUCAUAUAAGCUUGUAAAAAUGAACCGCACAAACUAAGAAGUGUAGAUAAUUUUCUUGACAAUUAUUAAUCCUUCCUUAUUAUUGUCUUUCUUGUUUUGAGAUCAGUGGGUUAAACUUUCGAUUUCAAAUUUAAUAGUGGUACCAAUUUUGUUUGGAUAUAAUUGUUUCCAUGAUUUUUACAACUUCCCUCUCCACAUUUGCAGCAUUUUUUUCGAAAUAGUAUUGUGCGUCAUUCCUGUGACAAUGCUUUUCUUCAGUUUGGAAUUCAAAUUUUGUUUAUAGUGCUACCAUUUUUACUUGGACUAGCCGAAAUGCCCCUGCAUUGCAACGGGAUAACAAAAUAAAAUGAUACACUCGAAGACAUGCAUAAAAAAAAUUCUCAUUUUGUUUUUCUUUGACAAUCAACAAACAUCAUUUUUAAAAAGGUUUCUUCUAAAGAUUUUUUUUCUCUAUACUCUACUCUAUCAAAAGACGAUACCUUCUGAAAAUCACAUAGCAUUCGUCAUUGACUUCUUUCUUUUGAGCCCUCAUAGCUUCACAGAUUGUGUGCCACGGGUCCUGAGACGAGGCGAUCGGAGGGUCUUCCAUGAGGCCUGUCAACUCGGACUUGGAUCCCGGCCAGUGAUACAAAUUUGAAAAGAAAUCUACUUCUUUUCGCGAACGAAAUAAACUCACAAUACUAAAUUUAAAAAAGAAAACAAAAUAUCUUCCAACAUUUCAGAAUCAUUGUUUGCUAAUCCUCACAAUCCUCUCAAUGAAAAGAAGUGAUUGGUAACAGAAAGUAAAAUACAAUUAUUUUAUUCGAUCAGUAGCCCAAUCCUUAAUAUUACAAUGAGCUCUAUGUGAUGGUGCCAUAGAAAUUGUCAACUCAAGAAAUAUUUUUUUGCCAAUAGUCCACAAUUAGUCCCCACACCCACACAAAUGCAACAUCAGAAGAAGAGCCUCGUGAGAUUGGACCAUAAAUAUUCUAGAUAUCCUAUUCUUCAAACCUACAAGUCUACUCUACUUACAUUGGCGUGUGCUCAUCGGAGGCAUGAAUGCCUGAUCAGCUACCUUGAUCUGCCCCACAAGGCGUCGGCGGCGCUCAUCCCGGAUGCAACGGGUGCUCGGGGAGGACGGCGACUGCAGGCGGAAAUCUCACCCUGAGACGCCGUCACUGAAGAUCUGGCCGGCGGCGAGAUUAAGGAUGCUGCCGGCGCAGCCCAGUCGCACGUCCCGGAUGGCCGGAUGCGGCGUGUGCUUCGGGUGGACGCCAGCUGCUGUACUCAGGGAAACGGAGGAGCUCCAGGCGUCACCGCAGCUCCGGCCAGCGGCGGCGUAGGCGAAGCCUAGGCGUCACUUGUCUCUCCCGUGGCAAUCGAGGAGAAGAAAUGUUCAGGCAAAGGAAUAGCAGAUUGAGGAAAGGGCUACGAGUGUGUACGAGUUAGGCCUGCUCGGUGUGCCAAUGAGUUCGGCCUGCUAGACUGCUGUGUAUGUGUAUGAUUUCGGCCUGCUCGGCGGUGAGACAGGGGCGUCGGGCCAGGGAUCGGGGAGACGGGCGUGGGGCAAGGCGAGCGAAGUUUGACAGGCGUCGAAACCGCGUGGUGAAGGGAACGGUCCGUAUUUUUUAGAUAGCUAUAGAUUUAUUUUUUCCAUUAUUCUUAUUUCUUACCACUUCUGUUUCCACAUUGUAGGUGACAAUUCUUUUAGAUUAAAAAUACACCACUAGUCCGUGAACUCGGUAAAAGUGAAGACUUUAGUCCACGAACUCAAAAAACGCACACUUAAACCCCUAAACUGGGACUACUGUGUCACUUUAGUCCAAAAACGCGCCACGUGGCCGCCAUGUCGGCUUCGGCGACCCCUUCACCGGCGUCCUCUGGUCAAAAUUUAGCGUUGUGGACUUGAUAGCAACCUUAGGCGAGACGGCGGCGGCAACAACGUGGUUCUCAGGGCCCCAGGAUCCCUGUCUGGGCGCGGCCGCCUUGCCCCUCUCGGCGACUCGGGCAUGGUGAUUUUGCCAAAAAAAUCCUAAGAAGAUCGAGUAGCAGCCCGCGGUCCUGGCCGAGGCCGGCGUGACGGCCACAUGGCGUGUUUAAGCCUCGCCGAACUGUUUUUGGACUAAAGUGACAUACUAGUCCCAAUUUAGGGGUUUAAGUGUGCGUUUUCCGAGUUUGUGGACUAAAAUGUUCAUUUUUGCCGAGUUCAGGAACUAGUGGUGUAUUUUUCUCGUUCUUUUAAAUAGCAUUGCACGUCACUCUCGUGGACACAUGAUGGGGUGACUGGUGAGAGCCAAGAUGCUGCCCUGUAAAUGACAGUGAGAUUUAGAUCCUGCAGCAACUAUGCUUCCUAGUUGGAGCUUGACUCACGAGUCACGAGUCAACGGUCUCAUGGGAUCGGUACAGUUUGAUUAACACUCUUAAGAGUGAUAUUGAGAAAAGGGCAAACAAGCAUGCAUGCCAUACUUUUUCAGCGCACAACCAAACCAAGGCAACACUAGCAAUAAUGCAAGGUCUUGUCUACACUGCAAAAGCCCUUUACACUGUUACUCUUACUCGUCCUAGUCUAUACUGCAAUAAUGCAAGGUCUCUUCCCCACACCUCACAUGCUUGCAAGAAGAGGAGGCUUCCCCACAGCUCACCGCGAUUGUGCUAGCUCUUUCCAACCAUAGCUCCGCUCUUUCUUGAUUUCGUUUUCUGGAUCCGGUGCGUGAUAAGUAUGCUGCUACUGGAUGGUAAGCUCAUACCGCAACAUUCCUUGGUUUCUCUUCCUCUUUUCCUUCUUCUCUUCCUUCAUGCCCUCUACUUGAUGCAGUGAUGCAGGUGUGACAACUUGUGUUCAGUUUUCUCUGCCCUCUACCUUGAUGUUGAUCCUCUCCAGGAACUUAGAGAAAAAACUUCAUCCUAGUAAAAAUCACUACUUUUCUCCUUGAAAGACUCUAAAGAAAAGGAGGCUUCGUUAGUUCAGUUCUAAACCUUGUUCUCCGCUGAUAUGUUCUGGUUCUAGCAUAACCAGCAGUUUUUAUGCAGGCAGAAGAGGAGGCUUUAUUAGUUGCUACUGUUGUUUAGAUUUCUAGCCAUUCCUCUGCUCCAGUGUCUCAUUUGCUGCUGUUUGAUCUGGUGAACUCCAUGGCCAACUGGCAUCAGGAGAUCAAGUCGAUCAUAGCUGGAAGUUUUGUUCCUUUUCUUCUCUCGGUCUAAUCAGUGUAUGUCCCUUCCAUGCAAAUUUUGUGUAGAUAUCUAUUGUUCAUUUAAUUCUAGUUGUAGUUCAUUGAUUAAACUAGCUUUCUUUUAACGAGUAUUCACAUCACCUUUUCUGUCCCUUUUCCCUUUUUGGCCACCAUAGCAGUGUGGAUCUCAGUUUUCAUCUCCAAGAUCUUAGUAAUGUAGUGAUGGGUCGGUAAAGUCGCAUCAAGCUGCUUCGCCAGGAUGAUUACUACCUAUUUUUGUUUACUAUGAACCGGUUUUCUUGCUGGAAGAUUCGUUUGUAACACACGCAUUGCAAGAUGAUUACUACUGAUCCUUAUUUCCACGUUAUUAACACACUGAAAUAUGCCAUUAUAUAUGACCUUCCAUCAACUACUAUGCGCGUUUGACAAACCAAUAACUGUUCUAGAUAUCUAGAAAAUGCAUCACUGUUCUGAACUUGUAAUGGGUAAAGAUGUAAGUAAUAGAAGAUCACUUAAGGUUUUCUAUGGUAAACAAAUACUCGGGGCUAUGCGUGCAGAACUGAAAUAAUUCCAUUGCUCCAUCAUGUCAAUUUAUUCAAACUUUGGGCGGAAAUAGUUAGUGGUAUCUCUGAAUUUCUGCUACAACUUACAAUAAUUUGUGCAAGAGUUGUGCAUACAUUUAAAUACAUUGCUUAUCCAGUUGUGUGUUUUUGUUUGACAUACGCUUGCAGAUUUUGAGUCGUGCAAACUAAGAACUAUUGGUUAAUUUUCUUGACAGAUUUAAAUCCAUUCCUUAUUAUUAAAUACAACUAAAAUUGCAUCAAGCUGCAAACUCAGAACUGUAGGUCAAUGCCAAACAAACAGAAGGUGUCCUCUCCCUUUGCUGCAUUAUUGUCUGUAUCACUGCAGUAGUUUUGUCUUUGUGCUCUCACAGCAAUGAUGACCCAUCACAUGAACAAGCAUUAGGAUAGUUUUGAAAUGAGAUAGAUUCGGACCAGUGAUUAAUUGGUCACUGCAAAAUCAAGUUCACUGGAAAAUGAGAGAACUGCAUAAUAUGAAAUUACUUUCUUGCACUAGCAACUCAACUGUUGACUGCUUGAUCUUAAUUUUUCGAUAUUAUAUAUGGUUGCAGUAGUUCAUCAUAUGUAUCCUUUAACUGCUCAGAAUCCUCUACAGUAUUAACCAUGUUAUUGCACACUGUUUAAGAAUCUAUAUUAGAACUAGGAGUUAAGAUGGAAAGGAAAUCAUCGUAUGAACUGCUUAGUUAAUUUGCAUGCUGGUUGUUCUAUGACCAGAGCUAACAUUUUAUUUUGCAGAUACAACUCGCGAUUAAAUUCUUGCAACGACCCUACUUACUGGGACCAAAUACCAGAAUUAAUGGACAGAUUAAAUUCUGAUCCAAAUCUGAGAAUCCUUCUGGCACUGCAAGGAACUAAAUUCAUUUCUGCACAUUGCAUGUGAUGGCCUGAGGAUGAGGAUCGACUUGACAACACAUGAUAUGUAUUUAUUAGCUCUGUCCAGUGCAGUUGCAGCACUCUGCUACUGCUUUAUCUGAGCGCCUUAACCAUUGUGUCCAAGUGGAGAGAUUUGGUCUUAGCUAGUUUCCCUUCUGUUCAUAUCCACUUGAAGCCCCUCCUCUCCUCACCACGAUCGAAACUUACUCCUGAACUGACUGACCAGGAGAACAUUCAUCCAUCUCAAAGGUUGGAGGCAGUUUCAGUUUUGUCUCUAGUUUAUUUACUUGUUAACUAGCUGUUUCUCCUACUUAAUUUGAACUUCUCUUUCCUCUAUUACACAGCAAAAGGCAGCAGAAAGAGAGUCCUUAAUGGCGAUGGUCCUGGAUGCUUUUGCAUCCUACCUGCAAGGCAUGCUGACCGAGAUGGCGGCGGAUGCGAUACAUCUGCUGCUCGGAGUCUCCGUCGAGAUUGACAAGAUGAGUGAUAAGCUAGGGGACCUCAAGAACUUCCUUGCCGAUGCUGAUAGGAGGAACAUCACCGACAAGAGCGUGCAGGGGUGGGUGACGGAGCUCAAGCGCGCCAUGUAUGACGCCACCGACAUCCUCGACCUCUGCCAGCUCCAGGUCAUGGAGCGUGGAGAGUCCACUGUGGAUGCAGGAUGCUGCAAUCCCUUCCUCUUCUGCAUAAGGAAUCCCUUCCAUGCUCAUGACAUGGGCACCCGCAUCAAGGCGCUCAAUGAGAGGCUCGACAGCAUUGGGAAGCGGAGUGCUACAUUCAAAUUCAUCGAUCUUGGGUCUUAUGAAGACCGUGGCAGGAAUAUGCAUGCCUCUCGUCAUGGCAAUCCUAAUCGGGAAACGUCAGGGGAGCUCGACCAGUUGGGUGUGGUCGGAGAGAAGAUCGAAGAAGACACAAGGGCAUUGGUGGACAAGAUCUUGCAGACACGCGAGGGUGUCACCAACAACAUCAUGGUGUUCGCCAUUGUAGGCGUCGGUGGGAUUGGCAAGACCACCCUUGCCCAGAAUGUCUUCAACAACCAAUCCAUUCAAAGUGAGUUCGACAAGAUGAUAUGGUUGAGCAUUAACCAGAACUUCGACCAGACUGAGUUGCUCAGAACAGCCAUCACCCAUGCCGGGGGAGACCAUUGUGGUGAAAAAGUAUUGUCCGUGCUUCAACCAAUCCUUACCAAGGCACUAAAAGGGAAGAAGUUCUUUCUGGUGAUGGAUGAUUUGUGGAGUCAUGGAUCGUGGGAGGGUGUGCUUCAAACACCCUUAGUCAAUGCUGCUGCUUCUGGCAGCCGAGUUCUCAUCACUACUAGAGAUGAAGCUGUUGCCCGAGGGAUGACAGCCACAUGGCCCCACCACUACAUCGACACAUUAUCGCCUGAUGAUGCUUGGUCAUUGCUCAAGAAACAGGUACGAAAAUAGUUAAACACUAGUGUCUUAAUCAAGUGAGAAAUCUUGUCUUCAUCUAUUUAUUAUGAGACUAGCUAGGUAGUUAAGAGAAUUAUGCUUUCAGAUUAAUAUGGGCGUUAAUUCUUUGUAAUUCGGUUGGUUAUUUCUACUAUUAUCUCCUGGGAGGUAUAUAAGAGGCUGCCAGAAUUCUCUUAACUUAGUUUGAUCUUUUACAUACAUGAAGAAGUAAAUAAUUAUGUUGUUGGAGCAUAUACGGAAACAAGAGAGUGUUUAUACUCCCUCCUUUUCACAAAGAAUGGUACCCAUACAUUUUGAGGUCGAACUUUGACCAACAAUUAGACCAAUAAUAUAUAGAUUAUAUGUUACCAAAUUUAUAUCGCUGGAAACGCUUUUGAAAUAGAAUCUAAUGAUAUAAUUUUUGUAGCACAUAACCCUCAAAUCAUUACUCUAAUUGUUGGUCAAAGUAAAAUCUCGAAAUGUGUGCGUGCCAUUCUUUGUGAAAAGGAGAGAGUAUAUCAUAGCACCAAUUCGAUUUUCCAUACUUUAUUCACGCCUUUGUAAAGGUUCAUUAAUGACAUUGAGAUGUUAUUUUGUUGUAGAACUUAAUCCAGCAACGAACAUGUCAUUUUUUACCAAUGAAGAAAUAUAGGUUGUAUGUUCCUGCACUACCCAACCCGACCCGCUAACCCGGUUCUUUUUUUCCCUACGGUACCGACUCCCUCCGCCCCUGAUUCUUGCUCAGUUCAGUCACGCAAUCCCCAUCAUGUUCGUCACACUCGUUGAUAUGCUAAAAUGCAAGAUAGAUGGCACCGACUUCAUCAUCGAUCAUUCUUCCCCUGUAGUUUUAGAGCCCACGUAGCCCUGAAGCAUCACCAGUCGGACACACCACCUGGCACACCCUUCUUUCUUUUUUUUAUCGCUCUGCGGAAGAAAAAAAAAUCUAAACAACAAGCUCUUUCUUACAUACCACUACUACGGCUGGCUACAAGCUCUUCCUUUCACCAGGCAGUAGCGCCUCCUCGCUCAGCCAGCACACACAACACAACACACCAAUACCUCUGUUUAGCAAACAAAGAGCAUGACAUUUUUUUUUUUUGAGAACCCAAAGAGCAUGAUAUUGUUUAGCUAUUGGUGUGCUGUUCACUAGAACAGUUUGUUGAGGCUUGUUGCACCUCAACAGCUGCUCACCAGAACACACGAAAUACUCCUCUUGUCUGCAGGACACACUAAUCACACUCCAACAUUUCCAUACUUUGGAUAUUUACAUAAUCAAAAAAAUAUCCUUGAUCAGUGGGUGAUUAGAUAAUCAAAUACUCCUUUUGUCUCUUCAGAGCUAAAUUUGAACGUCUUGAAAAGAGUUUCUACCCAGUUAAUUAGCUCUACGGUCUGUAUGUUUGCAGGUAGUACUCUCAGGUGAAAGAGAUGAAUACGACGUCAAUAUCCUGAAGGAUAUCGGAUUGAAAAUCAUACAAAAAUGUGGUGGUUUGCCACUUGCCAUCAAAGUAAUGGGAGGACUCUUGCGUCAAAGGGAGAUGCAUCGUCGUGACUGGGAGCAGGUUUUGGAUAAUUCUGAUUGGUCAACUAGUAAAAUGCCCGAAGAUCUCAAUAAUGCAGUAUACUUGAGCUAUCAAGAUAUGCCUCCUGAACUGAAGCAGUGCUUUCUAUACUACUCUCUUCUUCCUAAAAGUAGAGGGUUUAAUGUGGAUCAAGUUGUUGCAAUGUGGAUUGGUGAAGGAUUUAUUCCUGGAAACUCUAAUCAUCUAGAAGAAACGGGAAGAAAUUACUAUGAGGGGUUGUUAUCUAGGAACCUUAUACAGCUAGAUGAGCUAGAUGAUUUUCUUUUUCAUCAAAAGUUUUGCAGCAUGCAUGAUGUUGUUCGCUCAUUUGGUCAAUAUAUGGCUAGAGAUGAAGCACUCGUAGCUCAGGAUGGAGAAAUUGAUAUUCUUGACAAACUUAAUUCCAAGAAGUUUCUUCGGUUGUCUAUACAAUUAGAAACCGACGAAGUGCAAUCAGAUGAUUUGGAUUGGGUAUCUUUGCGAGAGCAGCAGCAAUCAAUGAGAACAUUAAUCUCAACUGUCCCAAUCAAGAUGAAGCCUGGUGACUCAUUGGUUACUUCUUCGAGUCUACGGACUCUAUAUAUAGACUCUGAAGAUGUGGCUUUAGUUGAAUCGUUGCAUCAACUCAAGCACCUGAGGUAUUUGAAUCUCAUCUCAGGAAAAUGGAAUCAAGCAAAUACUGGUAUAUCUGCACUUCCAGAGGAUAUUGGCAAGAUGAUUUUUUUGCAGUACCUUGGCAUUAAUAAUUGUAAAAAUUUGGUGAGUCUUCCUGACAGCAUUGUGAAGCUUGGCCAUCUGAGAUACGUUAACCUUCCGGAGAAAGUAAGUAUGAUACCUAGAGGGUUCCGUGGUCUGACAAAUAUGAGAAUUCUAUGUGGGUUUCCAGCUCUUGUGGAUGGUGACUGGUGCAGUUUGGAUGAGUUGGGGCCUCUUUCCCAACUCAGAUUUCUGAGACUAGUAAAACUGGAGAAUGCAUCUUCUGCUGCUAAUGCUAGCCUUAGUGAGAAGAAACAUCUUACCAACCUACUCUUGCACUGCACCCCAAGAGAGAAGCUGAAUGAAGAUGAGCAGCAACGGAUAGAGAAGGUGUUCAAUGAGCUCUGCCCUCCGUCCAGUGUUGAAAAUCUUGAUAUUUAUGAUUAUUUUGGCAAGAAACUCCCGAGCUGGAUGAUGUCCACACCAAGGGUGCCCCUGAACAACUUGAAGUCUCUGUUGUUGUGUCACCUAGCUUGCUGCACCCAACUUCCCGAUGGGUUGUGCCAUCUCCCCUGUCUGCAGGUGCUUGAGGUUGUCCGCGCUCCAUGCAUCAAGCGUGUUGGAAAUGAAUUCUUGCAUACCUCUCAGGCGACAGCAGUUCCAUUUCCGAGAUUGCAAAAGAUGCUCUUAAAUGGAAUGAUGGAAUUGGAGGAGUGGGAGUGGGAGGAGAAAGUUCAAGCCAUGCCCCGUUUGGAGGAGCUUUUGCUCUGGAAUUGCAAACUGCGGCGUGUUCCUCCUGGACUUGCCUCCAAUGCAAGGGCUUUGAGAAAGUUAUCAAUAGAAGAUGUGAAGCAGCUCAGCUACCUUGAGAACUUUCCUUCUGCCGUUGAGCUUACAGUUGAUGAAUGCCCCGACCUGGAGAGGAUCACUAAUCUCCCCAAACUGCAGAAGCUCACCAUCACCAGAUGCCGGAAGCUGAAGUCAGUGAACGACGUGCCUGCACUGCAAAGGCUGGUGCUGCAGGAUGACGAGAUGGAAACUGUCCCUGGAUACUUGAGAGAUGUGAACCCGAGGCAUUUCGAGCUAAGAUGCAGCCUAACGCUGCUCACUUCCAUUGCGGCGGGGGAAUCUGGACCAGAGUUUGCCAAGUUCAGACACGUCGACCAUGUGAAGGCCAGACGGCUAUACACAAGUGAUUUCUACGUGUUGUACACAAGAGGGCCGUGCAGCUUCGACACAAAUGUCAAUCCGUCAUUCCUGUCUAGAGGUAAAUCAUUAUAACUUAUCUGAUUUAUUCGCCAACUCUGUUUUUCAUUUGUAUCUCGGCAUGCUUAGAUUUAUUUUUUAAAGCGUGUGCUCACGCAAUGAGAGUUCCUAGAUGUAAAGUGUUAAUUAGCUAGUGUGAGAAGCGUCCUGCGGGAUCAAGCUGUCAUGUGUGUACGCAAGAGAAAAUAGUGUGUUCUUCCUUUCCUAAUUUCUUUGUGUGCAAUAUAUGGAUUAAUUAUGUAACUUUGUGUUAGUUUUUUUUGGAAUUUGCAUCCGUCAUUCUUUUCUAGAGGUAAACUGAUUUAUUCGCCAUCAUAACAUAUCUCGGCAUUUGUACACUGUACAUGGGACAAGAAAAGGCUCCGGCUAAGGUUCUUGUGAGUUAAUUCUUUGUGUGGGUGUAAUGGUGUAUUCAUGUGAGUCUAACCAUGGACUAGCUAGCUCAACAUGCUCGAGUGUAUAAUCGGACAUGCAUGUACGUAGCGUCAGUUUUUGCAAUUAAUUACUAGCUGUACGUUGUAUGGCUGCCGGGCUGUUAGAUCAAAAUACUACUUUCUCAAUUUCUGGACACAAUCUUUACCCUGCCACUAGUGACACGAUGUUGCCUUGCAAUAUAUGGAUUAAUUAUGUAACCUAUUUUUUGGAAUUUGUUUCCAUGCAGGAACUCUACCUAUUUUUGAGGAUGCACAAAGGCUCGAGUCUGCGCUGAAAAUGCCAAGAAGAGCCUUCGACUACGUCUGCAACUUAUUGAAGGAGAACUCUUGGCAACAUGCGAACAAAUACACCUUUCCCGAUGGGAGGUAUUUGUGUUUAGAAGACGGAGUUGCCGUCGCUCUGAUAGUGCUCAACUCUGGCGAGACACCUGCAACCGUAGGAUCCUCCGUUGCCUUGAAUGAGUCAACCGUCUCGCAGGUAACCGAGAGCUUUGUUGUUGCUAUGGACACACCAGGAUGGCCAGGCACCACUGAAAUGGAGAAGAUCAAGUACAAGUUUGACAAGAUCCGCGGCCUGCCAAACUGCUGCGGUGUUGUACAUGCAGCUCGCAUCCCAUUUGGGUCUCAAAACAGCGACCGUGAGAAGAAGAAUGAAGACCUGCUAAUGCAAGUCGUUGUUGAUUCAGAUAUGAGGUUCAUAGAUGUUCACUUGGGAUCGCCAGACAACAUGAAGGAGUCAAGCAUUUCGCAUGACUCCAAUCUCUUCAAGCGGUGCGAGAAGGGUACUAGGCUGAAUGGUAGCAAGCUGAAUUUAUCGGAUGGACGGCAAGUUGGAGAAUACGUGAUUGGGGAUGCCGGAUAUCCUCUUCUUCCCUGGCUGCUCACACCUUACCACCCGGAGAAUGACCUCUCAGAUUAUCAAGUGGAGUUCAAUAGGAGACAUUCAGAAGCAAUGGCCGUUGUGCCGAGGAGUGCACUGGAAAGAUUGAAAGACACAUGGAAGUUCCUGCAUGGACGGGGGUGGCACCCGGAAGAUCAAUAUGUGCUGCGGAACGCAAUCCAAACAUGCUGCAAGUUGCAUACCAUAGUGAUAGAAAUGGAGUGUAAGGCAGGCACAACGAGCUAUGGCGCCGGUAGCAAAGAAGUACGGCAGUUAGCAGAUGAGGAUGCGGCCAUGGCAAGGGAUAUAUUGUCGCAACAUUUGACCAGCAAACCAUUGGAAUCUGGAGGUAAAUUAACACAACUGCUGCUGCAUCUUAAUUCCCUCAAUCUCUCUAUAUCUUUUCUCUGUCGACCUAAUUAAUGUAAUCUUCUCGUGCUAAUUCAAACUUUCACUGAUAGCCAUGCAUUAUCACUAUAUAUGUGCUCUCACUUAUUUUCUCUGCCGUUCUAUAUAAGUUGCAUAGUUGUGCUUCAGUUUAGUUUGAUCUAUAUAUGUGCUCACAUUAAUCGUCAUUAGCCAUGCAUUAUCACUGUUCAUAUGAUGUCUAUAUAUGUAGCCAUUUCGCGUUUGGGAAAAAAAAUCCAUGCUUAAGAAUGGAUUGGAAUGAUAUGGUUUUCCACAUUUAUUCCUAGAACGCUUGCAUGUGCACGUACGUGAGUUGGAACUACAUGUACGUGUUAAUUAAGUCAGGACGGUAGUGACUCUUAUUUUUUUUUCUAAAGCGUGCUUAGGAGACAAGCACUGGGCCGGACCCGUGUGUAUACUUCCAGCAGUCAACCAGGUCGAUCCCGCCUUUUCUUUUGAGCGAAGUGUCGAUCCCAUCUAUUCUGCUCCCGAGCGUUGCACCACCUUUCAUGGGCGACAAGCCGAGUAACUUCAGCUAUCAGGCCAAGCAGAAGAAACAGACGCAUGCAUGUACAUUUAGUACCACCUCCACCAGCUACUACAAGAGAUCGAAAGAAACAUCUACAAGCCUAUAAAUACAGGCAGGCGGCCGCCGAGAGUCCAAAAAUAAGUGACGUUGGGUUGUAUAAGAAUAUAUACAAAUCCAAAUCACUCCAAAUAAGUGAGUAAUAUCUUUGAAACUGAAUUGAACCAGGCGGUUCAGCAUAAACCGUUCGAUUCGUGGUUUCUAACAAAAACCGGCCGGUAAGCUCUGUUCUGGUUCGGUGGCCGGCCACACCAAUUAAUGUAAGAUAGAAAAUACAUUUUAUUAUAGUAUCUCAUCCUUUCUCCUCUCUCCACCUCACCGGACGUCAGAACGGAGCACAGGGAGAGGGCAGAUGGCACCGCCCACGAGCCAGCAACUGCUGCUAAUCUUCAUCCCACUGCUGGCCACCAGAACCCGAGGCCGCACAAGUGAGCUGCAAAUUUUUGAUUCUCGGGCUAACUUUUGACCCUCCUUAAUUGAACCAAAUAAACUAAAAAUUUAAACACAACUUUUUGAAAAGAGUAAAAUACAUCACUAGUUCAUGAACUCGGCAAAAAUGAACACUUUAGUCCACGAAUUCGGAAAACGCACACUGAAACCCCUAAAUUGGGACUACUUUGUCACUUUAGUCAAAAACAUGCCAUGUGGCCGCCACGUCGGCUUUGGCCAGGACCGCGGGCUGCUACUCGGUUUUCUUAGGAUUUCUUUUGCAAAAUCACCAUGCUUGAGCCGCCCGCGAGGGGCAAGGCAGCCACGCCCAGACAGGGAUCCUGGGGCCUUGAGAACCACGUCGUUGCCGCAGCUGCCUCGCCUAAAGUUGCUAUCAAGUCCACAACGCUCAAUUUUGACAAGAUGACGCCAGUGAAGGGCUCGCCGAAGCCGACGUGGCGGCCACGUGGCGUGUUUAAGUCUCGCCGAACCGUUUGGACUAAAGUGACACAAUGGUUCCAGUUUAGAGGUUUAAGUUUGCGUUUUUUGAGUUCGUGUACUUAAGUGUUCAUUUUUGCCGAGUUCAUGGACUACUGGUGUAUUUUACUCUUUUGAAAAACUAGUUCAUUUAUUUGAACUAAGAAGGGUCAAAGGGUCCCUUGAGGGUCACCAUGUUGAACCUCUACGCACAACUUCUCCGGCCGCCACCGGCACCCCGCAGACCGAUUUUCGUCGGGAAUCAAGACAGUCGCCUCUCGAAUCUUGGCCGUCACCAAACGCCACCAACCGUGAUUGAAGCCGAUUUCGUGGCGAUUCAUGCCGCCACCGCUGCAAUUGGAACCACCGCACUCCACUCGGUCCUCCUCCCAAUGCCCAGCAGCCGCGUGGGCUCAGAGGUGCCGUGGGAGGCGGGUGCAGAGCCCGUGCAUCGGUCGGGCUGCGAGGCGUGGGCUGUCGGCGCAAGCGGCGGCCGUUGGCCGGAGACGGUGGUGCGCUGGAGGAGCACGAAGAAGACAGAGAAGGGGGCUGAUCAGUUCUGGUUGCAGGAGCUCGAGGAUAGGCUUUGGGUUUGGGGGAUAGAGUGAAGCCGUGAGGGACUGCUGGUGGAGAAGAAAAGAUAAUUGCGGGUGUUAUUUGCAAGUUUGACAUUUGAAGAGAUAACCGACGUGUGGACCCAGGCUGACAUGGCAUAAGUCAAACCGCCACGUCAACUGGUCAGAGAGGGGCAAACACACUUAGGACCUACAAUGAACCACUAGCAUUUUCAAAGAUUUAGGACUGAUUUGUCAUCUUUAGGAAAGAAUUAGUGCCGUGGAUGUAUUUUACUUCUUUUUUGCAGUAUUUGGUUGAUAUAUCAGUGUGAUAGUGUGAGAGUAGCAACAAAUUAAUUGAAUAAUAACUGGUGGUGGUGUCCCAAAUUAAAUAUAACAAUAUCAAUUGAAUCUAGCCACACAAAUGCACGGUUCAUUUUGCUAGUUGUUCUAAAAAUUAACACAGAUAAGCAAAACUUUUUUUUACACGUACGAACGUUAGGAGCAAUGUUGUUUGUACGUAGUACUUCGACCGAACAAACGUUACUUUUGCUCAUGUACUGCCGAUUGUCAAAGCUGAGCGACACAGUGGUGGAAGAUGCCUUAUUCUCUUCUAAGCUUUAGAUGUACAUAUAAGCAUUGUGUGUGUAGGAACAGAGUUUUAGAUGUACAUACAUGUAACAAAAGGUACCCUUCAUGUGUGAGAAAGGAGAGUCUUGAUCAUGCAUGCACGUUGAUCAUAAUUUCCAUAUUCAAUGUGCACAAAUGUGUAUUGUGUCGUACGGGAUGUUAUAUGAUGUUCUGAUAUACAGAGUCUGGCUGAUUGGAGCAAUAAUAGUCCCACGAACAGUAUGUGCCAUAUGCAUGCUUGAGGUAGUGUACAUAUAUUCUGUUGAUAGAGUCCAUUUCAAACUGAUCUUGUGUCUAACCACACGAUUGAGUGGCCUACUCUUCUGCGUGCUUGAUCUAGCAAUUACUAGUUGAUUAACACAGCAUGGUUCUUUACUUCAGUUUUCGCAAUUACUACUAGUUAUUGUAGUUCUGAAUUUGUUGGAUGCGGUUUUAAUCCUGUCAUAGCUGAGCUGUUGCCUUCAAGUUAUGGAUUGUGAGACCACUUCUUGCAUCUUCUUCUCGUGCAGGAACCCUGGCUAUUUUUGAGGAUGCGCAAAGACUCGAGUCUGUGUUAAAAAUGCCAAGAACAACCUUCGACUACGUCUGCAGCUUGCUGAAGGAAUCGUCUUUGGAAAUUAUGAACAGCUAUUUCUUUUUCGACAUGAGGUCCUUUUCUUUAGAGGAGCGAGUAGCCAUCGCUCUGAUAAUGCUCAACUCUGGCGACCCACCUGCAACCGUAGGAUGCUAUAUUGGUGUCAACGAGGCAACCGUCUCGCUGGUAACUCGGACGUUUGCCGGGGUUAUGUUGGAGCGAGCAUUGGAACACUUGUGGUGGCCAGGCUCCACCGAAAUAGACAAGAUCAAGUACAAGUUUGACAAGAUCCAUGGCCUACCAAACUGCUGUGGUGUUGUACAUACAGUUCACAUCACAUCUGGAUCACACAACAAAGAUCAUGAGGUGAAUGACGACAUGCUAAUGCAAGCUGUCGUUGAUACAGAUAUGAGGUUCAUAAACACUUGGUUGACAUCGCCAGACAGCAUGAAACAGUCAAGCAUUUUGCAUGACUCUGAGCUUUUCACGGAGUGCGAGAAAGGUACUGGUCUGAAUGGUAGCAAGCUGAAUUUACCGGAUGGAUUGCAAGUUGGAGAAUACAUAAUUGGUGACGCCGGAUAUCCUCUUCUUCCAUGGCUGCUCACACCUUACGAGCUGGAGAAUGAGCUCUCAGAUUCUCAAGUGGAGUUCAAUAGGAGACACUUAGAAGCUACAACCAUUGUGCCGAGGGCUGUAACUAGGUUAAAAGACACAUGGAAAUUCCUGCACGGAGGGGCAUGGCGCCCACAAAAUCAUCAUUGGGCAAUCUAUGCAUGCUUCGUGUUGCAUAACAUAGUGAUACACAUGGAGUGUAAGGCAGGUACAACGAGCUAUAACAGCCAGCAUGUGCGCCGGUUAGCAGAUGAGGACGCGGUGGUGGCAAGGGAUAUAUUGUCGCAACACUUGACCAGAAAACCAUUGGAAUCUGGAGGUAAAUUACAAGUCGGUUUAAAUAGAACGAUUAUUUGCUUCAGUUUGAGCAAUUACUAGUUGUUGUAGGUUGUCGAUCAAUACUACUUACUGAAUUUUGUGGAUACAAUUUUAACACAGUCACAGCCUUGAAAUUUAUGGACACUUUUACAUAUUUUUCCUGUCCAGGAACCCUGACUAUUUUCGAGGACGCACAAAGACUUGAGUCUGUGUUGAAAAUGCCAAGAAGAACUUUCGACUACAUCUGCAGCUUGCUGAAGGAAUCGUCUUUGGAAAUUAUGAACAACUACUUCUUUUUCGAUAUGAGGUUCUUUUCUUUAGAGGAGCGAGUAGCCAUUGCUCUGAUAAUGCUCAACUCUGGCGACCCACCUGCAACUGUAGGAUCCUUUCUUGGAGUGAACGAGUCAACCGUCUCGCUGGUAACCAAGAGCUUUGUUGAUGCCAUGUAUGAGAGAGCAAAGUACCAUGUGUACUGGCCACAAU